rnacentral:lncRNA from 1 species
UUUUUUUUUUUUUUUGAAAGGUUAUGAGUCUAAACACACAUGUGACUUUCUAGACACAUUUGAUCUUUUACGCUUGGUGGGAUGUGAUCUUUGGAGAUGCAAGAAAUGCAAUAUUGCAUUACACCAAGGUUUGUGUCUAUAUGAUCUGUAAUAGGGACAAUAUACUUUCAAAAGUAUAUAGCUAAGUUAAUAAUGAUAAUCUAGACAUAUUGUACACAUGCUCGUGUAUACCAAGAGGGAUGGCGUUGAAGUCCAAAAAUUCUUAAUAGCUAAUGAUAGAAUUUCAAUUUAACGCUAGAUACAACGUCUGGUCUUGAAUUCAAUAAGUGAAAGUAUAUUAUUCUAAUUAUCGGUGCACUAUAUUAAAUUUAAAUAUCCAAGGUAGAAUAGUGUAUAUUAUUCUUGCCAGCAUAAGAUAAAGGUGAGUUGUUGGACUCUUAAUGAAUCUUGAAAGUGCUCCUAAUGAUGGAAGCACUAAGAUGUCGCUUAUAUGCAUGUAUGUUUGGCGAACUAUAAAGUUUAAGGGUUUGACUUCGAAACAUUCAUGAAAGGAUAUGUAUACAAGGCCUAUACUUAUAUCAUUUUAUAGAAUUAGUGUUUGUGUAUAAAAUCUAUGUGUACUAUGUUUAUGGGUCUGGUCUAACGUACAAGUGGUUCAAAACUUGCCUACCAUCUUGUAUUGACUUGUUACAAAGAACCUUCACUAAAUUACCGAUUUAAUCAAAUGAUGCCAUUAUUUAUACAAAAAGAUUUUUAGAAAAAUCUGUGAUCUUCAAUUACAUUUUCAAUCUUUUGAAAACGGCGGUGAAUUAUUGGAGAUUUUCAAAAGAAAUAAAACGUCACAAGGUGAUUAUUCAUACAAGUGUGAAGUGUUACAAUCGUUCUAGUACCCUCAUAAUGGAAGUAACUACUUUAAUAGCAGAAGGUUCUCAUUAAUUUGGAUGGUUGUAACUAAUGUGUGACAUCUCCUAAUCUAUAAAGAUAUCAAUUGGAGAGGUUGAUUUACUGCAGAAAAAAUCGUCCUAUCAAUACUAGAUAUACUACAAAAGUACACGAAACACUUUUUCUUUGGCGUCUUGAACACUGGUGCAAAGUGUCAUCAAGGCAUGCUUCAUUUUACCUUAAAGAGAAUUCGUCUAUAAUAUUACACAAAUACAGAGGACGAAUUUAGCCUAAAAGAAUGCGUGAAUCUAAUUCACGACUUGAAACCAACUUCUUGUUUUCCAUCACAAGCUCACGUUCUUCUCAUUUGCAUCAACACUUAAAAAAUCAGAGAAAAGAAGAGGAGGAAGUAGAGAUUGAGAGAAAAAGGAAAAUCUAUUUCUAAUGUACUCCAAUGCGCCGCACAAAAUCAAUAAUCCCAAUUAAAUGAGAGGGAGGCAAAUUGGCCGAAUCAUCUGUGAAUCUGAAAAAGUGUAGCUUUAAGGAGGCAAUAAUUGUUGAAAAUAGGCGUGGGGAUAUAGACAUCAUAAAUUAAUGAUGAUAGACAUAAUGGACCCCUAGUUUUUUAUGAUCCGUUGAAAGAAGGGGUGUCCAUGUAAAUCAAUCAUAUGCCUUUUCCUUUUCAAUGUAGGGGACCAGAUUGCUACCUUUAUACCAUCCACUUGGCUAGGACUAAACAAUAAAAAAGAAAAAAAAGAAAAGUGCAUGCACAAGUAUGUUGAAACUUUACAGUAUGUGUUUCUUUCUCCUAACCUAUCUGAAUAUCCUCCUCCAGGUUUUAUGCUAGAUCUGAAAGGUACACAUUAUUCUACCUACUACUGCCUCAUGCACCAAUGAGUUCGAUAUAUGUCCAGGCCCCUCCCCAUGCACCCCCACCAGCAAGGUAUGCUAUCCUGAUUCCAGCCCUUUUUUCCUUCGCUACUUGGAACAAGAAAGUUAGUUCAUGCACUUAAAGAUCUGGUUAUUAAACAUAAGCGGUCAAUUUGGGGACCUGGCCAAGUGAUCUCCUUAAUUACCAUUUGUGGAUGGAUUUGAAAAUAAAAUAUUGCCGCAAACGCAUUACUUUUUGUUUUUUUUAAUGGACACAAAUUCUAUUUCAAGCUCACGGAAAAGAAUACUAAGAAGGACUAAUUUCACUUUGCGUCCCUAAGUUUUUGACUGAUUCUCACUUUACACCUUCAAUUCAAUUUUGGACCCGUUGUAUCUUAUGCUUUUAAAUCCAUCAUAUUUUAGUUCAUCUUGUAUUCUUGACUGAUUCAUGUUUUCACUUUGCAUUCCAAAACUUUAACGUUCAUACGCAAUGUACCCCCUAAUUUGGUUUUAAUACAUUUUUUUUUAUAUUUUUAAAAAUAAGAAAUAGACAUACGCAGAUUUUUACUAAGUAUUUGACCCACUUUACCCAGUUUCAAAUUCGAAAAAAUUAAAUUUUUUUAUGUUUCUAUAAUUACCAAAAUAUCAAUCAAAUUAUAAAAACAACGAUAAAAAUAUCUAAGUAAGGAAUAGGGCAUGGUAUUAAUAUAGGUUUCAUUUGAAGUAAAGGGCGAUAAAUAUUUUAAUUUAUGAUUUAUUUCUCAAUGGAUAAACAUGUUCAAAUCAUUUAUGUAAUAGUAGUAUAGUUCUACUAGCAUAACCACUAUGCGUAGCUCAGUUUAUAUGUUGAUCAAAUUCUUUAGUGGAUAACAGGAAUUAUUUACCAAAUAUAUCCACAUAAAAUUAAAGAUUCACAAAAACAAUUUUUAUAACUUUGACAAUAACGAGGUAUGCCAAUACAGAGGUAAAGAUUUAUGUAUGUGUAUUUUAAAUUAAUUUUGAAUAAUUUGUAACAUCGUAUUAAACCAAAAUUAGGGGGGAUCCACGUGUUAACAUAUUAGAGUUUAUGGUGUAAAGAGGAAACAAGUAAUUUUGGGGAUGCAAAGUGAAAUUUGACGUACCAACUAAGAAAUUGCAGAGAAUGUAUACACUAAUACCAUUAAGAAUUGGACUAAAAUAGGAUGGAUUUCAAUAGAUAAGGUACAAUUUGUUGAAAAUUAAUAUUGACGGCACAAAGUUAGUAUCGGUGAAAACUUGUGCUAAUUAGAACUAGUCUCAAUAAAAAAAUGUCCAAGUUUCACUUGAAAUUUGCAAAUGCUCGGGCCACCAAUCUGAUACGUUCAAUUUACUAAAAGUUGAGGCUAAUCUUGCUAGUGUUCCCACAAUUCGUCAAACAAAUUGUGAGACCCACCCAACAUUGAAAAGCAACUGAAACACAAUUUAAAAGGCGAAUACGGAUUUUUCGAUGGGAAAGAGAUACAACAAUUUAAAAGGUAACGGAAGAAUGCAUUGAAUAGUACGAGAGGUUAGAGUUUGAAAUCUCUCGCUUACACUAAAAUAUACAUACUAAUGUGUAAUAUAUAUAUAUAUAUAUAUAUAUAUAUAUGUAUGUAGACACACACAUACACAUACAUGCAUAUACGGUCUAACCAAUACUACUCAAUAGCUAGAGAUGUGCCUGCUGCCCACAAGUUAUCUUUACCAGUGGAUCAAGAAUUGCAGCGAAAGUGCAUAUACGUGCGUGAAAGAUAAAAUUGAUGGUUUCACUUGAAUUGUUAGUAACUAGGAUUGGAAGAAAUGGAAAAUGCAACUUUUAACUUUUCCUAAAAAAUGUUUCAGGCUAAUUGAAAGAAAUUUAGUCAUCACUGCUUUAAUUGGAAGAUAUGGUUGUUUUCUCGAAAGUAUGAAAUUCCCAAGUCACCUGACUCAAUAAUACAAGUUUUGAAGGUGUCACAUGAGUUUUGAGUUUCAACUUCGGUCUUAUUUGUAUUACUCAAAAAUAAAAAAGGCGUUAUUUGUAUAGUUUUAAAAUAUAACUUGUGGAAAGUAAGUGUAAUUAACUACAUUUAAUUUUUAAGAAAAGUGUAAUUAAAUACGUUACUAACACAAAGAAAUUCUUGAUGUUCCUUAAUAUGCACAAGUCUAAGGCAAAAAAGCCAGCAAACUGAACCAUUGAAAAUGGUGGAUGGCAAUUAAUACGCAAUGGAUCUUCUGUCCCACAUCCUGUGUCAUUCUCUGUCACAUUUUUUAUUAUAUUAUUAUUUCUCCUACAUAAACACCAUGUUUUAGUUCUUGCAAUUAAUAUUUAAUUAAAUACGAAAUGUUGAAUAUGUCUAACAAGGAAACGCCGUCUCAGGCUUGGGCCUAUCUCACCUACACAGAUCAAUUUAGUUGCUAAGAGCAUAGUCCGAGGCCCAUUUGUUCGCCCAAAAUGGACCAAAACUAGGGACUGUAAAGGUUGACCAAAGUGGAAUGAAACUAAAGACUUCCAACAAAUCUCAACCUUGAGCAGUCUGUUCUGUUCUUGGGCUUGGGCUUUGAAGUAACUUUCAUAGCCAACAAACAUGGACAAGUCACAAGAUUUUAGCCCUUUUUUGGUCCAAUGAAGGGCCUCACGGCCCUUUUACAACGCAGCUAGGCAGGGGAUAGCAUAUCCCAGUACAUCAUUUGACAAAAAAUUCCUUUCCUUAGCCCGGAUCGAUGACAGAAAGGAGUAUAGUUUCCAAUUCCGACAUCAAAUCUGGUCCUCUUCAAGAAGGGCUGCUUCCCGCGGCGGCCAGAAUACAAAUUUCACUUCAUUUAGGUUUUUUUUUUUUGUAUUUUUUUUGCUUCUUUUUUAUUUAUUUAUUUAAAUUAAUGUAUGUAUAGGACUAUUGUAUUAAUGUAUGUAUAAAAGAAUAGUAGUGCCCUCACAACCGUUUGUAACAUUUAGAGUUACAAACACCUAUUAUAACAGGUAAUACUACUACUUUUUUAAUAUUUCUAUAAGAGUCUUGUAAUAUUGUAAUUUGUAAAAGAGUCCAUUUUUAGUUUUAACCUAAAACUAGCUAUUGACGACUAUUCAUCUUCCAACGUAUAAAACAAAAUGACGGCAGCUUUUUAUAUAACCUUUCUGGUGAUUCAUUCGGUCAAAAAAACUCGUGAUUGUCAUUCAAGAAAUUUAAACAAGAAUCCAGUGCAAGAUGGGUUAUUCUUUUAACAAACAGAUUUGUAGAAUUGCUGGGCGAAGUGCAAAUAUCUUUGGAAAAAAGGAUCCAGACAGUUGCUUGAGAAGAUGCACAAACUAGCAUUUUUGUUCAGAGUCAUUAAUGUCUUCAUUACAGCUUUUGGAGUUAAUUCUCAAUGUAUUGAAAUUCUAAUGGGCAAAAUUAGACCAUUAACGAGACACGAAAAAAAUUCAAAGUCUAAUGCCAUUUAGCGAAUUGAAGUUUUAAGCAUUUCAUUAGUUUGUUAAAUCCAAAAGGAGCAUUUAAGACCCAUGAGGUCUUGAGAUUUUUUUUUUUUUCAAACGUCAUUCUGUAAUUUCCAUUGGCAACUUGAGUUAUCAGAUGAAAUGUUAUUGUCCCAUCCAUCACUUAGUUUUUGGAAAAUAAUCUAUUAUCAGGGGAAAUAUCAUUGUGCCACCCAAUUAGUUAUUAGAAGAAAUGUCAUUGAAGGGAAAAUAAUCAUUGAUAAUGUUAAAAGAUCUAUUGGAAAAUAAAACCCUUUUAGAGAUAUUUUUAAUGGUAAAUGAUAAAUUUUUUUACAAUCUUAAAUUUAAAAAGUUACUAAAAAAGUAAAUGUUUAUUAAUGAAUCAUCAAGCCGCAUCACAAUUACACUAAAAAAAAGGGAAAAAAAAGCCAUUUUAGAAUUUAAAAAAUUACUAAAAAAUAUCAAAUGUUUAAGAAAACUCAAAGUUUAGAGAGUAUGUAUUCAUAUUCUAAUGCCAUUUCACGAUUUCAAAUUUUAAACGUUUUGUUCCUUUCUCAGUCCAAAAGGUCCAUUUAAGACCAAUAGAUUUUGACACUUUCCUUCAAAUGUCUUUCUUUGAUUGGUUUUCAAAUUUUGACAACUUUCAUUGUGCCACCCUACAUCUAGCUUUUGCCUAUGAAAAAUGUCACUUUUAGUGCUUUUAAAUAUUUCGAGAUUGCUUUUACUUGUAAUAUAGAAUUUCUAGAAUUUUGUUGUAUAAACAUUUAUGACAAAAUCACAUAAAAGCUAAUUUUCAUUUUUUAUCCUAUAAGAAAAAUAAGAUUGAGAAAUGAAUGCUUUUUAUUACUAUACGUAUAUAACAUAUAUUUUAUCUCAACAAUGUGAACUCCCAAAUCCAGUGUAGUUCUUGCUUUUUCGGAGUUGUGAUAAAGGAGAGUUAGAGAGGACCCAUUGUUUAAGAAUAAACGAAUUAAGCGGUCUUUUGAGCAAUUAUGUUAUGCCACCGGAGAUACAAGUUGCAAGUUGGCUCACUAAUGCAAUGCCAGGCCAUAAGUUGUCCGUAACUUCUCGUGACUUCCAAGAAGUUAUGGACUGUGAUGGUCAUCUUUUAUUCUUCAUUAAAAUAUAGUUCAUGGGCUAGAUUUUUAGAAAGAUAAAGUUAAUUAGAAAAAGUGUAUAAAUAUAGGAGAAUAUUAAUAACUGUUAGUAUAAAUAUAUAUAUAUACACAUAUGAUAGAUUAAGUGGAAUUUAAUUAUAUUAAUAAGUGUCAUUAAGCAUCUAUUAGAAAAAUCUUAUACUUAAGAAUGGAUGUUUAAGAGAGCAAAGUUGUUGGAGACAAACUUGGACGGGAUGGAGACACAAUAAGCAAUGCUGUUGUCCAACUGUACGGUAUGAUGAAGUAUUAAUUUGUUAGGAAUGCUAGAUUCGACUGGAGAGAUAAGUAAAAACUGUUGGCACGAAAAAAUAUGCGCGUGGCCGAAGCAAUUUUAGCAAAUAUAAAAAUAUGUGAAAAGAGGAGGAAAAUAAAUACUCAAUAAUUUAUUUAACUCAAAACUCAACAAUAACAAAUAUCAAGUCAUAACCUUUCACUCACGAUAACUCACAAAUUUUAACUGUGAGACUUUCUUUCAAACCCACUCUCUAGAUUCAACUCAAUUCUUCAAAUAAUAACUUGUUAGACUGGUAGUAUUUAUAGAUUCCAAAAAUUUUCUAAAAGAAAUACAAUUGUAAAUCGAAACUUGCUCGAAAACUAAUUAGAGAUUUCCUAAACCAAUGUGAAAACUAAAUAAAUAAGAUACCAACACGAAUUAGGAAACUAAAUACUAGAUAGCUUAGUUUAAUUUCCUUCGUUGCCUCCCUUAAACCAAUUUCUUGAUGUUAUCAUCUCCAAUGCCAUCACAAGUUUGAAUCUCCAUGAAAAACUCCAUCGCUGUAUGGAUAAUGGGGAACUCCAACUUGCAAUUGAUCUCCAAUUUCUUCCUCACGUGCGAUAGUGGACAAAACUUGUACUUCUCAAACAGUUUCUUAGCUCGAUCACUCUUGUCAAAAAAUUCAAACAUAUCCAUCCAUUCUUCAUCCAAUCCUCAAUAAUUCAAUUCAUCCAUGUCACUAAUAAAAUCUGCCAACACCAGAAAAUAAUAAUUUCCACUACUGAGAUUUUCGACAUCACUAUGUUUUCCCUUAAUUUUUCCCACACUUACAAUCGCAUCAAUUUUAGUAGUACCAUAAUCUUCAAUUAAUGUAUCCAUUUCACAAUUGAUUUCAACCAAGCCCAUUACCUGAUAUUUCUUUUCAAAAAAUUCACUAAUCUUGACAACAUUAACAAUUUUUACGUUGCCAUGAUCUUUAGGAACAUCUUUAAUUUCAUCAAUGACUUCAUCUUUUUUCUCAACCACAUGUGAAAUUUCUUCUUGAAUCACAAAUUUUCAUCUCAAUGGUGGAGAAGAAAUUUGUGAUGAAGAAGAAGAAAAAUAAAAUUUUUUGAUGAGACAAAGAAAGAACCAUACAAAUUUAUUAAAAAUUUUCAAGCCUCCUUUGCUGUCUUUACAUAUAUGAAUUUUUUCCCUACAUGUAACUAGGCUUGAACACCGAGAUAGUAGAAUGUCUUACAAUUCAAUUGUCUAUUUCUCUGUAAUUGUUUAAAUUCAUCGCUUGAUAAUUCUGUACCUGCUAUAGGUUCCGUGAACUCAUUUUGGAAAAUAUUUCUAAGUCCAAUAUCUUCAAAAAAAAUUCUUCAUCAUCGACCUCCAAGUCUUAAAAUUAUUUUAACCAUCAAAGAUAAAAACAGGACAACGUUGUAAAUAAUGCAGAUCCAUACUUUAAUUUCACGAACAAGCUCCAAGCCCAAUUUUAUGAACAAGUGCCAGGAUCAAAACUUAGAGUUUUGAUACCACUUGCUGGCACAAAAAAAUAUGCGUAGGAUGGAAGCAAUUUUAGCACAUAUAAAAAUAUGCGAGAAGAGAGGGAAAACAAAUAUUCAAUAAUUUAUUUAACUCAAAACUUAACAAUAUCAAAUAUCAAGUCGUAGCCUUUCGCUCACGACAAUUUACAAAUCUCAACUAUGAGACUUUCUCUCAAACCCAUUCUCUAGAUUCAACUCAAAUUUUCAAGUAAUAACCUACUAGGCUGGUAGUAUUUAUAGAUUCUAAAAAUUUCCCAAAAUCAAGGAUUUUAAUAUAUACAAACUAGUAAUUGUCACUCAAGGGUUUUAAUAUAUCCCCUUAUUGACGUCGUCAUUCACAGAACCCAAUUGAUACGAUUAUUUUUAUUUAUUUGGAUUGUGGCUGACAAAAUAAGUUCAAUAAGGGCAAUUUAGUUCAAGGGCAAUAUAGUUGCACUACUAUGAUGUUAAUACGUGUAAAGUAGUAAAAAAAAUGUAUAUGUAUAAUUCACGUAAUAGGCAAUAUGCAUAUGUAUAAUUCACAAGGGCAAGUUAGUCCAAAUAUAGUAUUUUGACAAUGAGGGGAUAUUCCGAUUUAAUAAUCCAAGUUAUCUAGUAUUUGAUUGAUUUUAAAUUAGAUAGGAUAUAUUUUAAAAAAAUGCUAUAAUGUGUUUAGUUGGGAAUUAGGUAAAAUAGGAUUGCUGUUAUAAUGACCAAAGUCCCCCUUAUUUUGCAGUUUCUUCCUAAGAAGGUUAAUUUACCAUUUUUAAUAUUUAUAACCUUUAUUAAAAUUAUAAAUUAAAUCAAGGAUUUUAAUAUAUACAAACUAAUAAAUGUCACUCAAGGGUUUUAAUAUAUCCAUUUAUUGACGUUGUCAUUCACAGAACCCAAUUGAUAGGAUUUUUUUAUUUAUUUGGAUUGUGGUUGACAAAAUAAGUUCAGUAAGGGCAAUUUAGUUCAAGGGCAAUAUAGUUGCACUACUAUGAUGUUAAUACGUGUAAAGUAGUAUAAAAAAUGUAUAUGUAUAAUUCACGUAAUAGGCAGUAUGCAUAUGUAUAAUUCACAAGGGCAAAGUAGUCCAAAUAUAAUAUUUUGGCAAUUGAGGGGAUAUUCCAAAUUAAUAAUCUAAGUUAUCUAGUACUUGGUUGGUUUUGAGUUAGAUAGGAUAUAUUUUAAAAAAUGCUAUAAUGUGUUUGGUUGGGAAUUAGAUAAAAUAGGAUUGCUGUUAUAAUGACUAAAGUCCCCCUUAUUUUGUAGUUUCUUCCUAAUAAGGUCAAUUUACCAUUUUUAAUAUUUAUAACCUUUAUUAAAAUUGUAAAUUUAAUCAAGAAUUUUAAUAUAUACAAACUAAUAAUUGUCAGUCAAGGGUUUUAAUAUAUCCCCUUAUUGAUGUCGUCAUUCAUAGAACCCAAUUGAUAGGAUUUUUUUAUUUAUUUGGAUUGUAGUUGACAAAAUAAGUUCAGUAAGAGCAAUUUAGUUUAAGGGCAAUAUAGUUGCACUACUAUGAUGUUAAUACCUGUAAAGUAGUUAAAAAAAGAAAUGUAUAUGUAUAAUUCAUGUAAUAGGUAGUAUGCAUACGUAUAAUUCACAAAGGCAAAUUAGUCCAAAUAUAGUAUGUCGCGCCCCUUUUUUUUGAAAAAUAAAAUAAAAUCUAAAUCUAGGUGUUAGAAAAAUGAAUUUUUGAUUUUAGAAAAUGAGUUUUUUAUUUUAGAGAAUAAACAAAAGAAAAGGGCCUAAAAUGGAACUUAAAAGUGUGGCGGUUUUGACCCAAAAUAAUAGUCUAAAAAGGUUUUUAGAAAAAAAUAGGAGUUGCCACUUGAUAUUGAGUUAAGGUGUACCAAAUCACCCUAAAUGUGUUUUGUAAAUAAAAAUAAAUAAAUAAAACCCUUUUUAAACGACUCCAGAUCUUUGAAAACAAGAUAAAAGAGUUCAGGAGUCACCGUUGAAGAAAGAAAAGACAAAGAUUUGAUAGAAUCAAACCUAAGGCACCAUUUCAAGCUAACCAAAGUUAUUUGCGAGAUUUAGUCGAAAAUUUUCUUAACCUAACCUAUAAAACUUAUCACAUUUGAAUAUUUUUACAUGGAUACAAAUCUAUACCUAAUGAAUAUCGAGAGGGUCGAAACAUUUUUUCAAAGUUUAAUUGGUGAAAAUCACAUUAAUUGUGAUGCCCAAAAUGAUCCUUAGAAUAGAUCACGAAUAUACAAAGAUGAGACUCGAAAAAAAAGAAGCAUUAUAAUAUAUAAAUAUACGCGACCUAAAGGAGAGGAAUGCAACAUAACAGAUACAGGGAACUAAAAUUCGUGAUUCAACUUUUCCUUCUCAAAGAGGGGAACGAGAGCGUACUAAGGUUAAAAGCCACACUCGUUCAUUUCCCAUAUUUGAAGGAUGACUCUCCUAACCUAAUCAAGUAAAUGGACUAAUCUAUUUCUAUUCUCUUAAAUGGGAUGCAAGUCUAAAUUUCAUGUUUCCCGCACAUAAGGAUAAGGGAGAUAAUAUAUAUAGAGGAAAUAUUAUGCAAGAUGAGAAAAGAGUCUAAAGAUGAAAAACAUGUAUGAAAUGCGAUGAAUGUCACGCAAAGAAUGUGAAUCUAGUGCGAGAUAGCCCAAAGGGUCUAGUAUUGGAUUAGUCCAUUUCUACAAGUUUUCACUAGUGUUGGACUAGUGAAAAAAUCGGGAGAAAGGCCACAACUAGCGUUGGACUAAUGUGGUAACGUCAUGCAUUUAUUAUAACUAAAUAAAUCACAUAAAACAUAAUUAAAGUAAGUAAAUACAUAAAACACAUAGAUCACAUAACACUAGACAUGAUAUCUAGAUGCAAAGGUCCUAAAGAAAGUGAAUAAACACAUAAGCACACAAGCAUGCAAGCACACAAGCAAAUAAAUGCAAAUAAAAAUCUAACUAUUACAUUUGGGACCCUAACUACAAUCUAAGGAGGGAAUAAAAACCCAUCUAUUAUAUAGGUUAGCUAAAUACAUGUCUUGAACGCCUAUCUAUUACAACUUGAUAUUUAAAUGCCCCCUUAAAUAAUCAUCAAAAUUGAAUAGAAUAAAUGAAUCGUAAAAAUGAAUAAAAUGAGUAAUUAAAGGAAGCAAAAAGCACUCAAAAUAUGCAAUUACAUAUAAAAAGCACAUAGGAGCACAUAAGAGAAUUUAAAAUAAUAAAAGAAGAUACCUCCCUUGAAGUUUUGGUUAAAUGGGGUGAAAUUUGCCCUACUUAUACUCCAAAAUCAACAAAAUGGUCAAGGCACCAAUUUAAUUAUAAAGAAAUAAAAAUAAUCAUGAAAUCUACUAAUCAAAGCACUUAAAUGAAGUAUAAUUAACAAUUAAAGAAGAUAAAUCACUUAUAUUUAAGAAACCGAAAAUGUUAGGGACUUAAAUGCAAAAAUCAAAAAGUUUUUGAGGUCAAAAUAAAAUAAAAAUAAAGUUUAGGGACCAAAUUAAAAUUAAAUAGGGGCCUAAUUGAAAAAAAUUAAAAGUUUUAAGGCUAAAAUAAUAUUACUCAAAAGUAUAGAGACCAAGUUGAUUUGGAUCUGGUUUUCCUAAUCUAACAGGCCAUUGGGCCAUUCUUUUAUUUUCUUGGGCCAGAAGCCGCUUAGCCCAACCGACAGUUCAAAGAAAACAAGCAGACUAGCCCAUCUUUUGAUCAAGUAAAAACUCAACUAAAAAUGUAUGGGCCUUAGCUCUCUAGCCCAUAUCAAACCCAAUCAAAAGAAAUCAAAAUCCAUUACCAAAACCCAAACAAAACAACCCUCCAAUUCCAACCCAAGUUACCUGUUUCACUAAAACCCAACAUGAUAAAAAUCAUUCCAAAAAUUAUUAGGGACCAAUCAUGCCCAAAAACCUGGAAACAAAGUACUUAAAAACAUAUUUAAAAUAUGGAAAGGAGCACUAAAACUUAAAAUGAGAAAAAUUGGUUCAAAUUUCAAAGUUUUGGGCAACAGUGGUAUUAUGUAAAUAUUUAGGGGGCAAACUACAAAUUUUAGAAAAAUUCCAUGCAAACCCACGAAAGUUUUCUUCGUUCUUCUGCAACCCUUUUUCUUCUGCACCUUAUUAAACCCAACAAACACCACAAACGAUCCAAAGUUUCAGACUAAAGCAGCAAAAAGAGCAAGAUUCAAUCUUGAUACAUUUUACACGAAAUUGUGCAAUAAAAUCUGAACUAUUAUCCCAUAAAAUGAGCAAGAAAAUGCAGCAAAAAGAAGAAAGAAAGAGCAGGCAGAAUUCGGAUAAUUUUGGCACAGAUUUAAGCUUAGAUGGCAAGGGAAAGAUGAAAUACAUCACCUUUGGCGCUUUAAAGGAUGAAACAACACGUUAAAAUUCGAAGGAAAUGGAUCCAAACGCAAGAACUUGAAGAUUGAUUCUUCAUGUAACAGGCUUCAAGAGCUGACAGUGUAGCAAAUUCGGGCCCAGAUUCGAUGAGAUUUGAAACAUUUUCUCUGAAAAUUUCCCACAAAAAUCUUCUCCUACAUCUAUAGAGUGUCUAGAAAUCAAGAAUCGAUCCAAAAUAAGUCUAUACGAAGAAGAAAAUGGCCUCUGAACAGGCUUCCCACUCAACCUUGGCUCAAAAUUCUGAAGGAAGAAAUUUCGAAGAGCGAAGUUUGGGCUGAGAUUUGAAGGGUUUAUGAUGUUUUUCAGAAAAACUCCUCAACAUAAAAGUUAUUCCCAUCUGUCUCAAGAAAAUAAAGAAAGAAAAAUCACUCGAAACCAAUCUAUAAUGAAGGAGCAAAGUCUCCCCGAACUAGGCUGGUUCACCAGCUUUUUCUAGAAAAUUUCUGCAAUUUUCUUCCACUCACUCUCCCGUUUUCUCUCCUUUUUUGCUGUUUUUUCUUUCCUUUUCCUUUGACUGUGCCUCCUCUCCCUCUUCCUAGGGCUGCGUUUAUGACCUUUUAUAGCUACAAAAUCCCCCCAAAACCUAGAACUAAGGGAGGAGAUUGGAGCUGCAUUUUUGGCCAAGUUUUUGAGCCAUUGGAUGGUUCUCAUUCCAGAAGAUCCUUGAUGUUUUGGAUUAAGGCCAGGUGGCCAUGUACUGGAGUGAUCCAAUGGAGCGAAAAAAUGGAAGAAAAAUGAGUGAAAAUGGAUUAAAAUGGCCGCUGCAAUUUCUGUACCGUAGCUUGCUUCUGUACUUCAGCUGAAGUUUUUUUUUUCGCUUUUCUUUGUUCUUUUCUUUUCUUUUCCGAUUUUUCUAAAAUGAAUUUUUUUCAAGAAAUAGAAAUGAAACAAAAUAAAUAAAAAAUAAAAUGAACAAAAAAAGGAAUAAAAAUAAAGAAAAAUAAAAUGGUAAAAUUUUGGUGUCUACAAAGUAUUUUGGCAAUGGGGGGAUAUUCCUUUUAAAAUCACCAACCCUAUCAAUUGGCUACCGAUCUUGCUUCUUACUUGUAUUAUAUUAUACAAUUAAUUAAUUAAAUUCCAUUACUCUUGGUAUCUAUUCCGCGUUACUUCUUUAUUCCAUGUAUAUUUGUUAAUUUCUACUAACUUGUCAUAGAGAAACAUUCCUUAACUGUUAUUUGUCUACGUUGUAUUAACUAUGACAAUUUGUUGCACUUCAUUUAAUUUGCAUUACUUUGGUUACAACACAGUGCAUUAUACUGCCUACUAACUACACAUUUACAAGAACAUGAAAUGCAAUUUCAAUGCCAUGUUCAUGAUUCUAUUUCUUCACAAUUUACCUUCCUAAAUUCCCCCUAAAUCCUAAAAAUUUUUCUUUAAAUGAUUGCAUGCUUUGAAUUCCCGUUCUUCAUAAAUAUCCAUUUGUAUUUUUCUUUACCUAAAUAACUUCCUAUGCUCUAGUUAUUAUUUCUCAGAAAUCUUAUCUAAAUAUACUUAGUGUCAUUUUUCACUCUUCAUAAUAUGCCAUUCCGCGUAUAAAUCAUUUCUAAAACCUAUACAUGCACAUUACUACAAACACAAAUAACUAAUUUUUUCCCCACAUUUACAACUACUGCAUACCAUUUUCACAUUGCAUUUGUGGAACGAGUGCUGACCUCUUCAAAUUCGUUCUAUCCCUUCUAAUUAGCUCUCAUGCAACUCAAUUCCUCCGCUUCUCUGCUCCUCCACGUCCCUUUAUAUUGUAUGUUUUUUUUUUUUAUCAAAUUGCGUUGCAAUAUACAAUGACAAUGGGGUCUUUCUUGGCUUUAUUUCUCGACCUACUGGAAUGGGAUACUAAGCAUUUGCUCUCCUUUUCCCUUCUAGUUGGUGGCAUUAUUAACACAAUUUUAAUGCCUCCAUUAAUGUCUUAAACUACCAUAGCCUUUCAAAGAUCCCCUCUUUGUAGUCACAUUUUGUUACGGUCCAUUUGUAACUCUCAAGUAUUAAAUCACUAUUCCUAGGACUGACGCUUGCUUUUGGAACAUUCAGUGCAUGUCUUGUCCUACUUAUUUAUACUUUCGUUACAAAUAUUUAUUUAAUGUGGCCCCCACAAUUUCAAGCAAUCUAUACUUUUCCAUUGGCAACUUCUCUCAUCAGGUUCUAUACAAACCCUCCUCAACUUCAGGAAUUUCUUAUAUGUCGUCUUAUCAUUGGUUAGUCUUAACUUUACCACAAAAAUAUUAGAAACUUCUUCACCAUUUUGUAGAACUCUGACAUAAAUGUUAAUUUCUUCUAUUGUUACUCUCAAAAAACAUGGGCUGCGGCAACAUCAGAUCAGAAAGAAAAAAGACACCCGAGUCUACUGCUUAGAACCAAAUUCACGCCAUGUGCCAGAGCCACUCUCAAUGAUGUGCGCGGGAUAUACAUACACAAUUAACUCAUUCACAAUCAAGUUUUACAUUUAUAAACUCCUAAAUACUCCACACGCGAUUUAUCGCAAGUAUACGAAUCGUGAGCGAGUAUAGGGUAUUAAGGGUCGAUCCCACAGGGAAAAUUGCAAUUACCAGUGAUUUUCGAACUCCUUUAUUAUUUAGACUACCAUAAAUAUAAAAGUAAUGAAAAUUAACACUAGAAAGCUCUUAGAGAUAUGGAAUUUCUCACUACUCUUGCAAAUGAGAUUACCGGUUAAGUGAAUGCUAUUAUCUUGACUAGUUAUGGUGCAAUUUCCUAAUGUAUGUGAAACCUACUCUCGUAGUGAAUCAACUAUACUUGUUAUUAAGCCAUACCUAUUCUCGUGGUUAUGAAAUUAACUACAAGUUCAUUUCUUUUAUGAAAUUACAUGAAACAAGUCACUUAAACCACAUAGGUGCACCUCUACUUUCGUGAGUGAACUCCCUAUGUUUUAUCACUUCCUUGAACUAGUGUUAAAUUCUAAUUCUCAUUGCAAAUUUAACACCUUAGAUAAUCACAAUUAAUGGCCAGUUAAUUAUGAUUAGAAUAUCAAAAGUGAUAAAUAACUUGCUCAAAAUAAUAUCACCAAAUAACCAAAUAAACAUCACUAAUAAAAUAUAGAAAGUUCAUCCAUACUCUAGGCAUUAACUUUAGAAAUACAUAAUAAAUAUAAAAUCCAAAACUUGUAUGUUAAUCAUACUUAAGAAUCCAAUACAAAAGAUAAAAAGUUGGAGAAGAGAUAACCCGUGUCACUUGAGCUUCAACUCCUCCUUCUUCAUCUUCAUCUUCAUCCUAAUCUAACUAAUGUACAAGAAGGAUGAACUAACUAGCUAAACUAUCAUACACUAAGGAAAUGGAAGAAAUACAUUUUUGUGGUAAUUCUUGCACUCACCAAGCUCCUGCAAAAAUUGCUAACUCUAGAGAAUAUGAUCAGUCUCAGUUUUUAUCCUAAAAUUCUGAUAUCCUCUAUUCACCUACCGUAUUUUUCUUCUCCCCUUUGAUUCUCUAAAUCUGGUGUUAACCAAGUCAACAAAACAAAGUUCCAGCCUCUUGAUUUUAUCGUAUAUUUUUGACUUGACAAUAAGCUAUUUUUCUUCCUUUGUGCAUUAGAAACAUGUGCAGCCUACGUUUUCUCUCCAACUCUAGCUGGAAAGUAGUGUGAAGAUGAGAAAAAUGGCUGAGCAAAUUGCAGAAAUUCGGCUGCCACACGCGUUUUCACUUUUGACCUCACUUCAACUGUAAUUUCUCUAUGAUAGCCAUCGAACUAGCUGUUAUGCAAAACACAAAAGUUGUAACCUUUGAAUUACCGUUCCAAUGUUUCAAGAAUCAUCUAAUUUAGAGAUCGGUGAACGGAGAUAUGGUCGAAAUACCAUAGACUGGUCAAUUCUGGGCUUCAGCUUUCGACCAUCCAAAUAAGUUUCUGUAUUUCGACUUUUUGACCAAGAAAAUAGCUGAAUUGGACUUUGAUGUCUUCAUACCAAAUAUAGAUAUAUCUCUUAACUUAAAAAUGGUACCAAGAUCAUCUCGAUCCGAUCAUUUUAGCUCGAGAUAUAGCCGAAAUACCAAGAUGUGUCGAAAUUGUCUUUACUUGAAUUCCUUCAAUUGAAUGUUUUGUACUUCAUGUCUUCUUUAAACCACUUCAAUUCAUCAAUUAUCAUCAAGUUUUCUUCUCAAUUCACUCCAACUGAUGAUUGAGUCCUUACACCUACAAAAACAUGAAGUUCUUUUCGUUAAAAUCUAUAUAAAUGCAAUUUUUGCCAAUCAAACAGCAACAUAGAUAUCUUGACCAAAACCCUAGUUAAUUAAUUAUAAAACUAGAUAAAACAUACCAAUAUUAACUAAUAAAACAUGCUAAAAAUACGUAAAAUAUCCACUUAUCACUCAACUAUGGUAAAAUCACAUAACAAUCUUAGAAAAUAUGAGAAGUUUUUGAAAUAAAUCAUACUUGCCCGCCCUAAAUCUUGUAAAAUUAUAUAUUGACCAUCACUUUGCUUCUUAACAAAAAUUUUAAAAUUCUUAAAAGUCUCUCAUGCAUUAGAUUUUUGUGUCUAAAAAUAAAUCCAAACUUUUUAUAUGGUGAGAUGCAUGUUGAAAUUAAAGAAUAUGUCGAAGUCUUUUUGGGCGAAGGCUGUGGCUUGCACUAUUUAUAUGUUGAAUAGGUGCUAUACAAGAAGUGUUUUUGGAACAACCACUGAAGAAAUUUAGAAUAGUAAAUGACCAUUUAUUGGCCAUCUCAAAGUGUUUGGCUGGACCAUUUAUUCUCACAUUCCUAAUCCGUUGAGAAAGAAACUUCAAGAUGAAGGAUGUAAUGAAUGUGAUAUUAUACAUCCAUAUGAUAUGGUAAGGUACGUAUAAUUUAUGCAUACUAACAUGUGCCCAAGAUAUUUAUUAGAAAUUUCUCUCUUAAUCGGGUAAAGAAUAAGCUGAGUCAAUAGGGUUGAUAAUCGAUUUAAAUAAACCUUAAAUUCGUCUUACAAAUUUAUUUGAUUCUAUUUUUAUGCCUUCAAAUUUAAUUAUAUACAUAAUAACUCCUACUAAAAGGUCAAGUACUAACUUGCAAUUAAACUUUUGGAGCCAAUACUCUAUUCUAUCAUCCUUACGGAAAAAUUCACCAAUAACCAAGAUGCAUUAAUAAUUUUGGAAUGGUCAUUAGCAGCAAAUCAUCUCCUAUAAGACACUAAACACGACAAGUCACAAAUUUCUGUUUAUCAGAUUAAUCAAGAACGAGUAUGCGUAUAUGCACAAAUCCAACUUCAUAACUAACCACAGCAGAUGAUGACCUAAAUAUUUGAUAGCACUAAAUAUUACAACCUAAAUUUGCAGAAGUAAAUUUCAGUGAUAGGUUUUACCUCAAUAUGUAAGGCAUUAUACUCGGCCAACUACAAUCUGUCAACGAUCCACAGUGUAAACCAUCAAAAGCAAAUUCUAAACAUAUCCAGUAAAGGAAUAACUUACCCUAUUCCAUAAUGCAUAAUGCAUAAUUUAAACUGAAAAGAAAUUUAUUUAACAAUGGCUGGCAAGCAACAUCAAUAACUGAAAGUACAAGGACUAUGUUUCAAUAUAUAUCCACCUACCAACCCUAAGAUUCAAAGGUUUGGUCGCACACAAAAUUACUGGUUUCCUCUGCAAAAACAAGAUGGUGAUAUGGGAAGAAAUACCGAUGCAAAUCUACAAGUAUCCCAGUUCUCAGCCCCCAAUUCAAGCAUGUUAGAUACAAUAGAAUAACAAAUUUUCAUUUUCAUAAUUGACGUAUGCACAUACAUAUAUGAAUACUUGGUUGCAAAUCAAAUUAGUAUCUGUGACGCCCCCACUUUUCCCUAAAACGAAUCAAAGGGUAUCCGCGAGACGCCUGCCCAACUCUCACCAGGACUCAAGACAAUUCCCGUUCAAGUUUAAUGAAAUACCAGCCAUCACGAUGAUAUAAGUAAGAAAAGGAGGUCACUCCCAUAAAUAACAUUCAAACUUACAUCACAAGUUCCAAAAUACGUCAAGUAUCCAAUCCUUACAUCAAGUUCUCAAAGGUUACAUCAAAUCCCAAAAUAUGCAAUAAUCAAGAGUCUAACCCAGUACAUUGAAAAACCUUAAUACAAAAGUACAUUCAAAAGGGAUUUCUCUGAGGUUCACUCCAGAUCCUUCCCUGUUAAGAAAAAUAAAUCUACAGGGUGAGCAAAACGCUCGUGAGGUCAAGAACACACAUGCAGACACGUUGUUCGAGUAACAAUCCCAAUUUAAUAAGUAGAGCAACAAUAUUGCAAUAAAUAACAAUUUGAACGAGAAAAGUAAACAGAAACAAUUCAAGGAUAUAGGAGCUCUCAGGAGUUAUUUUCCACUUGCACGAUUAUGAACCUCCACGAGUUGACACUCCGUCAAUCGGGUAGGUUUAGUCCGUAGAACUUCACUUUUCAUGUCCCCUUUCACCUUACAUACCCCUGUAUCGGGCCCGCCUGUCGUUUGUUUGAGGCGGUGCUGUUCGAGUAUGCCAAGCAAGAUCUCUUAAUAGAUCAAGCUUUUAUUUUCUAAUGGUUCGCCAAGGAGCCCGACCAAACCUGUGCCGGCUCGAGUCCAAGGUUAACCAGUGAGAUUUGGGCGUCCCCCACUUACCACUUGAGUUGAGGAGAUUCACUCCGAUCGACUUAUGCAACCAUAGCAUAAACAAACAUUUAAACACUUCACUUAAAUUCACUUAACAAGUCACUUCAAGCAAUUCAAGUAUUUUAUGUCACGAAAUUCAAGUACACUUCACUUAAAUAAGAACGAGUGUGAUAAAGUACACACUCGAUUCAGCAUUUUUAAAAUGUUCUAUUAUUAAUAACAAUUAACACGUAACACGUAUAUCACAUAGUUCACACACUUGAUACUCACCGAGUGAUUCAAGUAGCAAGUACAAGCGAUAAGUUAGGCGUCUCUUGUGAGAUCCUCUUGAAGGUCCUCUUGAGUGCCUGAGCAAUUAAUAAUAAUCUAUCACUCAUAAUCCCAAUUAUCGAAGAAGAUUGUACUAUGGUACAAUCUAAGAAAAUCUCAUGAAAAUGAACCCUAUUUACUUGUAAAUCGAGACUCAAUGGCGGGGUUUUAAAGUAAAAGAGAAAUCUAGUUUUCAUAUCUAAAUUCAAGUGUAAAACGAUCAUGUGAUAUCGAAUGGAAAAGGAGAAUUCGAAAAACUCCAUUUCCUUAUGUUUCGAAAAUUUCAGCUUUGAUAUGAAAUUUUUGAAAAAUCGUAUCUCACUUUUUGCAAGUUUAAAAUUGGGAAACUUGGUACCGUUGGAAACUUCUUCCAAAGUACUAAAAGUUCCUAGAAGAUACUUUUCCAUGAUUCCAAAUGAAAGACAUUCAAAAUUUGGCUCAAAAUUACUGUUUUAGGCUAUCAAGGCAGUUUCGGGGUUGGUUUUUGGCCAACUUUGGAAAUUCAGCAAAAUUCACAGAAUUUGAACUAGUCUCUCAAAUUUGAAACUCAAUUAGAGUUACAAUCAAAGUUUAAAACAAAAUAAGUGAAACAAUAAUUGGAGUUUUGAGCACCAAGAUAUGUUGGUUCAAAGUUAUUGAAAAGUGAGACCGUUAGGCUAAAUUCCAGAUUUAAUUCACGAACGUUGGGACUUUGGUUGAACAUCGAAACAGACUUGGAAUGGCACCAAAAUUGGUAGUAUUAUACUACCAUAUAAGGGCUAUUCUUCUAUCAGAUUUCAUGGAAAAAUACGUAUGGAAAGUUGGUUAACUAAAUCACUAAAUUUUCCAAAUUUCUAAGGCAAAUCUGCCUUGUACUUGAGUUUUCCUUUUCGCAAACGUUUGGCCAAUGAAGACAUCUUAAAUAUGGUUCAUUUGUAUAGACAUUGUCUAAGAAUCAUCCAAGAUGUGUUUGGUAGGUGAUUAACACCAAGAAUUUCGAAACAACAAGUCCCAAUCAAGGUUAAGGCAUCACCUAACCAAAAGAGGGUUUUCAAUCCCUGAAUCAGUUUCGAACUUUGGCCACAACUCACUCAAUUCAAUUUAGAAUUGAGCAUGGUUGGUGGCAUUAAAAACUAGAUUCAUAAAGCUACAAUUUCUCAGAAGAAAUUGUUUUCAAAAUCUGUCCACAACUAGCUCACAUUUGAGCAUCAAUUCGCUGCUCAAAACAGAGCUUUCAGUAAAUUAGUGAAACAGGACAAUCAUGUUCAAACGAUUGGUAUGGAUUACUCAGGUAGAAUCAGGAUGUGUAUUUUAUACCGUUAGAAAUAUGGGAAUGUCUAGUUUCCAGUUCCACAAAUGGCACUUGAUUUCGACAUCGGAGCAAAAAGUUAUAGCUGUUUGAAAAACACUACCAGUGUAAUACGGGAAAAAUUCCAGUUUUGAAUGAACUUUCGAAAUCACCACAUUUGGCCAACCAAAUCACGUAAUGUUUCGUAGAAACCUUCCACACAACCCAUACAACAUAUAUACAUCAUAAACAAGUCAAUAGGACUUCAAAAAAAUGCUCUAAAGGUCAUGGAAUUCACAGGGACAGAAAUGGAAAAAAUCUCCCCUUCACUUCCUUUGAGCUUUCAUCCAUCAUAGCACUCAUUUCUACUAAUUUAAAUACUAAUCCAACAUUAUUAACAUCAAAACUCACAAAAUCAGUCCAUCAAGCCAUAGUGGGAGUUCAUAGAGCCCAAUCACCAACUUUUCAACAAUUUAAAGCUAUCCAUAAGAAAUUAUGAACUCAUAAGUGCUAAACAACUUCUAUAAGUCAAGAUUUGCAACGUUGAUCGUCACUUACUUUCUUAGACGAUUAAGGCAGAAAUUUCGAUCCUCCUUGCUCAAGAAAAACCAUAGAUUUGAAGCUCUUUUUGUAGCUUGAGUUGCUCUCCAAGUAGAUUGCAAAGUGUGGUUAAAGUUUGAGGUGAUUUGGUGGAAAUUUAGUGAUGCGAUGAAGAAGAACUUGGAGGAGAAAUUUGGUUCUUUUCUUCUUGAUAUGCACGGCUGGAAUGGAGUAGAAAAGAGAGUGUUUUGGGCUCUAAUGAAGCUUCCAAGAGAAGCUAAAAUGUGUGGCUCAAAUUAGUUCAAAAGUCAACUCUCUCCCCGCGCGCGCACGCGUGCGUUUCGUGCUCGAUUCUUCUCGAGUUUGUUUCACUUGUGCACUAAACUUGUAAUUACUUUCAUUCAUACUAUUAUUAUUCACUCUUAAUAGUCCCAAAAUAAAGGUCUUAAGCUCCUCAAUUAAAUCGCGCGAGUAAAAACGCGGACUCCCGAUUUGUGUGCGAUAAAGUGGAACUUUCAAGAAAUUCUUGUAACGAUAGCUUCACUAACUAAUACUUGAGUACUUAAACAAAAAAUACCUAUUUUAAGACUAGUGUAUUCCAAGCUCAUUGUACUCUCAAAUCGGUUAAUGACUCCAAACGCGUAUUCACUAUCCUAGCUAAAAGAGCUUCCCAAAAAUUAAUUUUUGAAACAAGUCACUUUAAAAAUUUAAGUAAGCUAUAGUUCCAUGUAAUUAGGUCUAAAAGGUUAGAAUAAAAUAUUCGGAGUGAACGGGCAUUUAAAUGGGCUAGUAAUAGGGGUUUAAAAUAGGAAAAUUUGUGAGUCCUCACAUGAGUCUAGUAUUACUUUCUCAAAUCUCCAAUAAAUUUGCAUCAGCGCGUCUUUCGGAAAACUAUCGACGCAUGAGCGGUAAGCACUUAAUUAUAAUUUAUUCACCUUUAAUUUCUCAAUUAACUUUUCUUAAUCUACUAUUGAUCAUUCUUAAUUUUCCCAAGAUAAUUACACUCUCGAAUAAAAUAUCACCUCGAAACAUGUGUACUCAUUAUUUCUCACUUAAACGAACCUCCAAAAAUUAAAUUUGCUAACGGAACGUUUUAAAAACAUAAGGAAGACAUUGUUCCAUACGAAUGGACUUAAAAUGGUUGAAAUAAAUUAUUUGGAGAAAACAGGUGAAUAAAUAUUUAAAUAAACCAAUAAUAUUCAAUAAAAAUAAGAAAUUUUUCGAGUCCUCGCAGUAUCAAUCAAACCACACACACACACACACACAUCAAUGACUGAAGCCUCCUUCGAUUUUCACAACAGAUAGAUUGAAUAUAGUUUAAUGUUAAUACAAUGGCGCAAUGGGUUUAAGGACCCUUAAAUUUUGUUUAUAAUUCUGGAUAUCCAUUCUUACUAUUAUAAAGCACUGAGAGGGUCAAGACGUUCAAUAAGUUUCAACCUUAACUAUGGGUGAGGAAGAAACAUCCCAUCAACUCAAAAAAACAUAACCAAGAGUCAAGACAGUUAAUUAUAGCAAAGUUUCUCAUAAAAGCACCGUGCACAAUCUUUUAGGCACAAGAUCACCUCUCACAUAAAAUAUCAAUAGAUCACCAAAAUGAAACAUGCUCAAAUUGAAUUCUUAUACUAAAAUUAUUUUUGAAAAAUUUCAGCAAACAAAACUGUUGAUGAAACAGUGAGACGAACGAUAAUUACUGAACUCUUAAGGAAUUCAAAAUAUUUUAAUUUAAACAAUUUCAAUACUAAUGAGUAUUGGCUUUUUUUUUUUUUUAAUAAGCCACAGGUAUCGCAUCCAUUUUAAGGUUUGUGAGUAAUGAUGUUUGAGUCUAGUCAGGCCCCUUGUGAAGGAAAAUCUUCCAAUAUUAUUUUUUCCAUUCUCAUAGAUUUCGAAUUCGAGAUUCCAUGAUUAAGGGAUGCAAAUCUCUUCCAUUUGCACCAACAUCCAUUGGUUAGUAUUGGCCUAUAAAGUAAUUGAAGCAGUUCAAUUUUUAUCUCUAGCAGAUAUGGAAUCUUAUAAUAGUCAUGGAAUCAAUGCGAAAAUUUUGAACUUACAGUAGCCAAAAUCAUGAAAUGACCACCCGGUAGGUUACCUAAAUAAGAAUUAUACAAUUCAUGGAAACUAAUUGUAUACAAUUAGGCGAAGCCCACUAGUUAGUUUCUUUAGUUUAACUUUCAGGUUCCUUGUUCUCAUGAUAUCCAUUGAUGCCAUAGUGACGAGUCCCUAAUCGUUCCUUCUCAAAUUUAUUUCCUUGCGGUUUUUUUCUUCUAAUUUUUUUUAUUUGUUCCCUUCUUGUUUCAGUGCAGAAAUCAUGCAUGGUGCAUCUUGGCUUCACUCCUGAUAGGAUGCAUUUUAGUGGGUAUUUUGGGCGUUAUUGCACAAUGAAUUGACUAAAUAUUUUCAUUAAUUGGGUGGAUUCCACUAAUAUUUUGUUUUGAUGCUAAUUGCAGGAUUGGAUGCUGUAAAGCGCUUAAAAUCAGAAUUUAGAAGAUUUGCCGCACGUGGGGCCUACUUGCGAAGUUGAAGAAAUUAAAAUCCUUCUGAUUAACCUUGACACGUGAAAUGAAGCAAUUGAAACCAAAUCUCUCGUAUGUCUCUUUUGGUCAAAAUUGAGUAAAAGCUAAGAAGGAAUUCGGCAGACUUGUGCCAAUUGGGGGGGGCCCACAAAGAAGAAAAGGCUUUUCAAUUGGGCUUUUGAACGUACGAGGAUAAGUUGUUCCUUGGGAGUCUUUGGCUUGCUGGACAAUUGCGGCGGGACCAGCGACCAGGGAGCCUGAGUCAACUUCCUUUUUGGGGAUACAAGUAGAGACGUACAGGAGAAAAGAAGGGGAUCCCUUCUGGCGGCUCUCAGUUUCUAGUUUAGCUUGAGUUUUUCUUUUUCUUUGUUUUGUCCUUUUUACUGGCCUCUGACACACGCCAGGUGUUCGAUAAUAUUCCCCAACGGGAAAAACAUCUUUUAUUCCUUGCUUUCUAGUAAAAAUCGCCACGCUUUUGCAAUCCAUUAUUUCGUGUGGUGAUUUAAUUAUACAGCGUGGCUAAGCCUUCAAUCUAGUCAAGGGGACAACUGACGAAUUGGUUCACCAUCACUGUGAGAUCUAAACUUAUUUUAAUUGUUUCCUCCAUUUAUUGGUAUUCAUAUGUUUCCUGCUUUUAACUGUUAUAGCUCUUGUGUAUGAUUGAUUAGUGCGCAAUAAUUAGUUAUCCACGUAGGCUAUUUUGCUAUAUAGGGAUAAUUGAAUCCGUAAUUGUUCGUUAUUUCUAUUCUAGUAGCAACUAGCACAAUUGGAUUUGUGUCAGGGGAACAUUUGAUCUGGCUUGAAUGAACCCUCGUAGCGUGUUUGUUAGUCAGGAUUGGGCCUUUCUAAUUACUAAUGCAAUCUAGAAAUUGAAUCCUACGGUCGUACCUGGGGUUGUUUUUGGGUUAGAGAAAUAGCUAACGGUCGUACCUUAGCUAUCGAUAAAUUACGGAAAGGUUGGUUGUUUAGCGCGUGCGAGACAACUAUAACCAAUCUAUUAGUAAAUGCUGGAAUUAUCCAUGAAUCAAUGAUCAGUUGCAUGAACCAUUUCUGAAGUACACCCUUGGCUAGAGUUUCUCUCAUUUAUUUCUUUUAAUUAAUUCUUUUCUGCAGUUAAUUUGUUUAGUUGGCAUUUGAUACCAAAACCUCCCAUUAAUCUUGACUUCAAAAAGAAACAAAUAUCUCUCCAGUCCCUGAGGAGACGACCCUGCUUACCACUGUCUACUAGUUAGGGAAUUCAGUUAAAUAAUUAAUUCAGGUAUAUCGGAUUAAGCAAACUCUUCGGGAACAGGGUGAAUCAAGUAACCCAUUGCACACCUAGAGUCCCUGCUCCAGUACUCGAAUUGACUAUUGACUGCUUUAGGUGGUAGUUAGGUUUCAUUUAUUAUUAUUGCACAGGUUCGGCACCUGUCAAUUUUUGGCGCCGUUGCCGGGGACUGGCGUUUGAAGUAUUUGCUUCUUUUUGAAUUCAGUUUUUAUUUUGUUUUAUUUUAUUCUUCUUUUUCUUGGUAUUUUUGCUAGUUUAUGCCCCGUUCUUUUCGCACAGGUGACUUGGUAUACGAUCCUGAGGUUGAGAAGGCAGCGCGAAAACGACGGCAAGAGACCAAGAGACGAAAAGAAGGGCACUUAUUUUCUGCAAACGAGUCAGUAAGGGACGAAUUUAGCAUGGCCAACACCCAGACAUUGAGGGAGCUGGCUACCCCGGAGCUGACUCAUCAGCCCUUGUGCAUCACGUUCCCAACUCUGGCUGAGAAUACCUCCUUCGAGCUGAAAUCGGGAUUGAUUCAACUCCUACCAUCGUUCCAUGGCCUUUCUGGUGAGGAACCCCACAAACAUGUCAAGGAGUUCGAAGUAGUUUGCUCUAGCAUGAAACCUCCUGCGGUCACUGAGGAGCAAAUAAGACAUAGAGCUUUCCCAUUCUCUCUCAAGGAUGCAGCGAAGGAUUGGUUAUACUACCUACCUGCAGGUAGUAUCACCACGUGGCCACAAUUGAAGAAGAAAUUUCUAGAAAAAUUUUUUCCUGCAUCCCGGACUGCGAGUUUGAGAAAGGAGAUAUGCAGCAUCAAGCAGUACUCCGGGGAGUCCUUGUAUGACUAUUGGGAAAGGUUCAACAGGUUGUGCAAGAGAUGCCCACAGUAUCAAAUUAGUGAACAACUGCUGAUUCAGUAUUUCUAUGAAGGACUCCAGUCAACUGACAGGAGUAUUAUUGACGCUGCGAGUGGAGGAGCUUUGGCGAACAAGACACCGAGGGAAGCGUGGGACCUUAUUGAAGCCAUGGCAGAAAAUUCUCAGCAGUUCGGCUUCCGUGAGAGCAAUCCUACCCGUAGAGUUAAUGAGGCAGAGACGUCAUCCGUCCAGCAGCAACUGUCAGAGUUGACGUCGGUCGUCAGGCAAUUGGCCAUGAGAGACACACCGCGAGCGAAGGUGUGUGGAAUCUGUACCAGCAUGGACCACUGCACGGAUUCGUGCCCCAUUCUGCAAGAGGACGGGGCGGAACAGGUAAAUAUGGCCGGAGGCGUGCCCGCGCCCCGCAGGCAGUAUGACCCGUAUUCCAACACAUACAACCCCGGUUGGAGAGACCACCCCAAUCUCAGUUAUGGGAACAGGCAACAAGGUUCAUUCCCGAAUCGUCCACCAGGAUUCUACCAGCCUUGGCAACCAAAACCUCAAUCCUCAUCCUCCAAUACAGGAAGCUCCUUGGAGGACCUAGUCAAAAACCUGGCCACGACUACUACCAACCUGGCCGCAACUACUACACAGCUUCAACAGGAGAUCAGAUCCUUGGCCGCGAAAACCGAGCAGCUCCAGCAGGACACGAAAGCUGACAAGAAGGACCAAGAUGUUCGAAUAAGUCAACUGGCAACUGCCAUCAACCGCUUGGAAUCUCACGUUUAUGGGAAACUGCCAUCGCAACCCGAGGUAAAUCCCAAGAAUGUAAGUGCCAUGACGCUGAGGAGUGGCAAGGAGCUGGAAGAACCUAAAGUGAAAAAUUCAAAAAGCAAAAGCGAGGAGGAGAUAGAAAAGGAAAUUGAGGAGGAAGGACGUGUUCAUGAGGAUCCUAAGGUAACCUCCACUUCUCCACUCACUAUUAGCUCUAACUUACCCCCUUUUCCUUGCAGGUUGGAAAAGACAAGGAAAGUAGAGAAGGAAAAGGAACUUUUGGAUGUAUUCAGGAAAGUAGAGAUUAACAUCCCCCUACUGGAUGCAAUCAAGCAGAUACCGAAAUAUGCCAAAUUUUUGAAAGACUUAUGCACCCACAAGAGGAAGCUAAGGGGAAAUGAACGAGUGACGGUGGGAGAAAACGUGUCAGCUAUACUCCAGAGGAAGCUCCCACGAAAAUGUGGAGAUCCAGGUAUGUUCACCAUUCCCUGCAAGAUAGGAGGUACUCCAAUUAGGAAAGCAAUGUUGGAUUUGGGGGCGUCAAUUAAUGUUAUGCCUAAGACAAUUUAUGCAUCUCUAAAUCUUGGCCCGUUAAAAGGCACAGGCAUCAUAAUUCAACUUGCAGACCGUACCAAUGCUUACCCGGAAGGGUUAGUUGAAGAUGUUUUGGUACAGGUCAAUGAGUUAGUUUUUCCUGCAGAUUUCUAUGUCCUAGACAUGGGGGAUGAAAGGGCACUAAAUCCGUCUCCUAUUCUGUUAGGUAGGCCAUUUUGAAGCACUGCUAGGACGAAAAUAGAUGUUAAUGAGGGUACCUUGUCGAUGGAGUUUGAUGGGGAAAUUGUAAAUUUUAAUAUUUUUGAGGCGAUGAAGUACCCAGAUGAGACUAACUCUAUUUAUGCUUUAAGUGUUGUUGAGCCCCUUGUACAGGAAAUAUUUGAAUUGGAUGGGGUUGAUGCACUGGCAGUGGCAUUGGCCAAACAUCUUGAGUUGGGAGCAACUCUUGAUGUAGAAAUAAAUGAUGAGCUAUACCACGCUGUUGGAGCACUACAUUCGCUCCCACCAAUUUCCCCAAGGUAUGAGCUUACUUCUGUUUUUGUACCAGAAACUCAGGCAAAAUUGUUGCCUUCUAUUGUGCAGGCGCCUGAGUUGGAGCUCAAACCUCUCCCAAAGCAUUUGAAGUAUGCUUUUCUCGGGGACAAUGAGACACUGCCAGUCAUCAUAUCUGCACACCUGUCACCAGGGCAAGAAGAUAGACUACUUCGUCUUCUUCGAGAUCAUAAGGAGGCAAUUGGGUGGAGUGUAGCAGAUAUCAAAGGAAUUAGCCCCUCCUUAUGCAUGCAUCGGAUUCGGCUUGAGGAUGAUGCGAAGCCAGUUAGACAAGGGCAACGGAGAUUGAACCCACUAAUGAUGGAAGUGGUCAAAAAGGAGAUACUUAAACUCCUAGAAGUGGGGAUCAUCUUCGCCAUCUCAGAUAGCCCCUGGGUGAGCCCGGUGCAAGUAGUCCCGAAAAAGGCGGGAGUAACAGUUGAAGAGAACCAAGAGGGUGAGAUGGUCCCGGUGAGGAAACCCACAGGAUGGCGCCAGUGCAUUGACUAUCGGCGUCUGAAUGCUGUGACGAAGAAGGACCACUUCCCUCUGCCUUUUAUCGAUCAGAUGAUAGAAAGGUUAGCUGGCCGUGUCUAUUAUUGUUUUCUUGAUGGUUUCUCUGGUUAUUUUCAGAUUGCAAUAGCACCAGAGAAUCAGGAGAAAACUACCUUCACCUGCCCCUUCGGUACAUUUGCAUAUCGGAGGAUGCCUUUCGGCCUCUGCAACGCCCCAGCAACUUUUCAGAGGUGUAUGGUAAGUAUAUUUUCUGAGUAUGUAGAAAAGAUUAUUGAGGUGUUUAUGGAUGAUUUUAGUGUGUAUGGGGAUAGCUUUGAUGAAUGCCUUGAUAAUUUAGCUUUAAUUUUGAAAAGAUGCAUUGAGACAAAUUUGGUUCUGAAUUGGGAAAAAUGUCAUUUCAUGGUGGAUCAUGGUAUUGUUCUAGGGCAUGUAGUGUCGGCCAGAGGUAUAGAGGUAGACAAGGCAAAAGUCGAUAUUAUUUCUGCUCUGCCUUACCCCGCAAGUGUGCGGGAGGUGCGCUCCUUUUUGGGUCAUGCAGGGUUCUACAGGAGGUUCAUCAAAGAUUUCUCCAAAAUUGGAGCGCCCCUGUUUAAGCUGUUGCAAAAAGAUGUAGCAUAUGACUUCACCGAAGAGUGCAAGGUGGCAUUUGACAGGCUGCGGGAGUCAUUGACAUCACCGCCUGUUAUCCAACCUCCAGACUGGAGUCUCCCAUUUGAGAUAAUGUGUGACGCGAGUGACUAUGCAGUGGGAGCGGUGCUGGGGCAACGGAUUGGUAGAGUUGCACAUGCAAUCUACUAUGCAUCGAAGGCGUUAAAUGGAGCUCAGCUCAACUACUCUACAACAGAAAAAGAAUUGCUGGCUGUGGUUUUUGCAUUAGAAAAAUUUAGACCUUAUUUGUUAGGUGCAAAAAUAACAGUUUUCUCUGAUCAUGCAGCCUUGAGAUACUUGAUGACGAAGAAGGAUGCUAAACCAAGGCUCAUCAGAUGGUUCCUGCUCCUUCAGGAGUUCAACUUGGAGAUUAAGGAUAAAAGUGGGGCAGAAAAUUUAGUUGCUGAUCACUUGAGCCGCCUACUUGCUCAUAAGGAGGAGCCACCAUUGAGGGAGGCAUUUCCAGAGGAGCAACUACUUGCCAUUAACUCGUCUGUGCCCUGGUAUGCCGAUUUGGUAAACUUUCUAGUGACUAAUCAACUGCCUGCAGGGUGGCCAAAAGCUAAGAGAGACAAGUUGAAGAGUGAUGCCAAAUAUUACAUUUGGGACGACCCGUACCUUUGGAGACAAUGUUCGGAUCAAGUGCUCAGGAGGUGCGUAAGUGCAGGUGAAUUUCACUCCAUUUUAAAUUUUUGCCAUUCAUUUGCAUGUGGAGGGCAUUUUGGGCCCAAGCGAACAGCUCACAAAGUGUUAGAGAGUGGUUUUUACUGGCCUACCCUAUUUAAAGAUGCUUAUUUAUUCUGUAAAUCCUGUGAUAGGUGCCAAAGGGUGGGAAAUAUUUUUCGUAGGGACCAAAUGCUUCAAACCCCCAUGUUGUUUGUUGAAAUUUUUGAUGUUUGGGGGAUAGAUUUUAUGGGUCCUUUUCCCUCAUCUUUUGGUUUCCUGUAUAUUUUACUUGCUGUAGAUUAUGUCUCUAAAUGGGUGGAAGCUAAAGCCACCCGUACUAAUGAUUCUAGAGUGGUUGCAGAUUUCUUAAAAUCUAAUAUCUUUGUCCGUUUUGGAAUGCCAAGAGCUGUGGUUAGUGAUAGAGGGACACAUUUCUGCAACAAGACUAUCAUGGCCUUGUUUCGAAAAUACGGUGUACUGCAUAAGGUAUCCACACCGUACCACCCGCAGGCAAACGGUCAGGCCGAAGUGUCAAACAGGGAAAUCAAGUCGAUCCUGGAGAAGAUGGUGCGCCCGGAUAGGAAGGAUUGGAGUUUAAAGCUAGAAGACGCACUAUGGGCGUAUAGAACCGCGUAUAAGACGCCGAUUGGGAUAUCUCCGUAUAGACUUGUCUUUGGUAAGGCUUGCCAUCUCCCCGUAGAGUUCGAACAUAAGGCGUUUUGGGCAGUGAAGCAGUGUAACAUGGGAUUGGAUGGAGCAGGAGUCCAAAGGAAAUUGCAGCUACAAGAGUUGGAAGAAAUAAGAAAUGAGGCGUAUGAGAAUGCCACGAUCUAUAAAGAAAAGAGUAAAAUCUUUCAUGAUCAGCAGGUUUCUAGGAGAACUUUUGUAGUGGGGCAAAAGGUCCUCUUGUAUCACUCAAGGCUUAAACUUUUUCCCGGUAAGUUGCGUUCUCGUUGGAUUGGUCCAUUUGUCGUUUCUAAUGUGUUCCAUUAUGGUGCAGUGGAAAUCCAGAGUGUAAAAACGGAGAAAAAGUUCGUGGUGAAUGGUCUAGUAGUAGCAUAAGAAAGCAUGCCCAAUCCAAGCUGGCCCUUCGCUAUGGCGAGCGUGGUGAACACUGUCUCGCAGCUUACCCAAUCUCUCAACCUUGCCAAUAGGUUCCUCGUAUAAGGGGUUGGUUAACUGCAUUACUUAGAUAAGUUUCGAAGUAUGAAAGGGCAGGCUUCCUGCCUCUAUCUAUCCCGUGAGUGUAAAGAGGUACUAUCAAGAAAGUAACUCCUCAUGGCUUCGAUCUGACCUCCCGGGGUGGAGGAAGCUGGUCCAUCGAAUCGGACCCUCCCAGUAGUCCCCUAUCCCUAUCAACCGGAUGAGGUCAUAGGUGGGGAUUGUGUUAAAUGGAUUCAACGCCGUCUGUUAUCCAAACACAACUUUCCUACAGCCCAUGAAAUAGAAAUGGCCUAUACACAAGCCGAAGACCUAUUCGAGGUCAAGGUUCAAAUUGUGGAACUCAUGGCGGUUCUUGAUCCGAUGGGAGAUUGGGCAGGACGGGGAGCUAGGGCUCUCGAUAAUCCUCUCUCCGUCACGGGAGAGCCCUCCUUAUCCAGUCUAUAUGACCUCUUGGUCAAUCAUCGUCUCAAACCUUAUUAUGAGGGUUUCUAUGUUGAAGAAGUAGAAGUUGAACACCUCCAAGAUCCACUUUAUCAUGCUUGAGGGUUUUGGCCAUGUCUAGUCAAAGACAGUAAAGAAAGGCGCUACUUGGGAGGCAACCCAAGACUAUUUGUUUUAGUUUUCGUGCAUUUUUGAAGUUUUAGUUAAGUGUUAGUGUCAAUUAAUGGUUUGAUGUUUUGGUGACAGGGAAGUAGCGUUUAGACGUGCCCACGUCAGGUGGUCGCGCCUGAAGAAAAGGAAUUUUUGGCUCAGGUUCUGCGAACUCCACAGUAGUCAGACGUGCCCACGCCAGAUGGUCACGCCUGACGGAGGAAAUUUGCGUUAAGAAUCUGCGGACUACAUAGCAGUUAGACGUGCCCACGCCAGAUGGUCACGCCUGAGGGAGGAAAUUUUCGAUCAGGUUCUGCAAACUCCAUAGUAGUUAGACGUGCCCACGCCAGAUGGUCACGCCUGAGGGAGGAAAUUUUCGAUCAGGUUCUGCGGACUCUAGGGCAGUUGAACGUGCCCACGCUAGGUGGCCACGUUAAAAAAAAAAAAAAACACUUCCGUAGCCCUUCUUCUUUUCUUCCUUUUUCUUUCUUUCUUUCUUCUUUCUUCUUCCUUUUCUUUCUUUUCUUCUUUUUCUUCUUCUGCUUAGACCGCCGCCGCACAGGACGCCGUCGGAUCGCGCCUGCCGCCUCGCGCGCCGCCACCACGCCUGCCGCCCAGCCUCGCGCUGCACCUCCUCCGCGCGAUGCUGCCCUGCGCGCCUCCCAGCCCAGCCUCGCCAUCUGCGCGACACAGCAGCAGGCGGCCAGGAGCAUUACCGCACGCGCAGCCUCAGCACCAGUCGCACAGCAGACCACCGAGCGCAGACCGCGCGCGUCUGCCCACAGCCCAGCGCGCCGCCCCUGCGCGCGAGAUCCAGCCCAAGCUUGCGCGAACCCUCUGCACCAGAUCCUCCACCACCACCAGCCCUCUCUGCGCGCAGCCGCUACUUCGCACGCUAGCGCGCAGCUCAACCACGUCGCGUGUAACUCAGCCUGGCAAAUGAGCUAAAAAUUUUUCUCCGGUGAUAUCUCUUUUUCAUUUACUGCCCCUAAUUAGCUGAGGCCAGAUUCUUAAUUUUUGUUAGCAGAGGACAGAUUUUCAAUUGCUUGCUUGAUUUUGGGUGCUGUGAUAUAUCUGUGGUUGAUUGUGGUCUAUUUGUGAAAUUUGGUGCUCAAUCAGAGAUAUUGGUGGAAAGUUUUCACUCUGGUUGUUUCUUUAAUUAGUUUUUGGGGGAAUUUUGCUGCGGUUGUUUAAUUAAAUAAUUUUUGAGGUUGUUUGGUAGAAUUUGGGGAAGUUUUCGUGGUAUUUGUUUUAUCCAUUGUUUUGUAUUUUUUGGGUGCAAUUUUUAUUGUUUAUCUACUUAAUUGAUUCUUGGGCUAUUUGGUUGCUAUUUGUUCAAUUGUUGAUGCUUGGAGCUGUGUUUGGGGACCCUUUGCUUUGUUGAUUAGCCACCGCUCCAUUUUACCCAACUUCACCUUGACUUCGCCCUCGUUUCCAAUCCCCAAUGACUAAACCGAAAACCAAGAGCAAGAAUAAGCCUUCCACUUCAUCUCCUCGGCCUACGGUCCCCUUAGAGGGACCUGCCCCAUCGACUGGGCUUGGAGGGCCUCGUACCCGCCUUGGACGGAAUAGGGAGGUUCAUAUCUCCUCUCCGGCCCAUUUUGGCGGUCAUUUGACCUUCACCCGGGCUGCCGACAAGGAGCGGUAUGCUUCGGCUUGCACAAGGAAGAUAAUUCCUUGUAAAUACCUUCAUGGCCCUACACUUGAUUUGCUGAACCUGAGGGAUGAGGUCGCACAGCACUUGACUAAUGUAGGUUGGGCCCGCUAUGCUUCUAUAAAUCAACCUGCUUUUACUGAACUCACGUGGGAAUUCUAUGCUACCUUUGAAUUUAAUAUUCCUGAGGAAUUCUCCGUUACCACUCCUGGGGUUGUGAGGUAUCGAUUAAUGGGUAGAGAGUUCAACCAAUCGAUCACUGAGUUUAAUUUGGCUCUUGGGUUUAUUGAUAUUCCGUACUCCCAGAGUGAGGAGUAUAUGCACAGUGCGUGCGAAUAUAUAGAGCCAUUUUUCUCUCAUUACCUUGAUUAUUGGAGUGGUUUGUCAGUUGACCAGCAAUGCUAUGACCCCAGUCAGUCUAAAGCUUCUUAUCUUAAGAGUGCCACCUACCGCUAUUUACAUAGAUUCAUGGCCUAUAGUUUCUCAGGUAGGAAGGAUAGCUCGGGUACUCUGACUACGCCCGAAUUCUUUUUCGUUUGGUGCAUGGUCACUCGGACUAGGAUCAAUUUGGGUAGCUGGUUUGCCCUCCACCUCCGAACUGUGCUAAGUAAGAAAAAUAAGCCAUUAAUCUUAGGAUCCUUUAUCACUCAGUUAGCUGUAAAUCUUGGGGUUUUGGACUUGAAUAAUCAUAACUUGCAUCGUGCUUGUAUUAUGGAACCUCUUGAUUUGGUUUGUUUGGAGAAAAUGGGUCUUGUGAGACAGGUAAAUGGCGCUUUCCAAUUUGCCCCCCCGGGGCCAAUCUCCGUUCCUCCGAAGCGCAAGGCUUCCAAAUCCACUGCGACGGCGGCUGGUGGUCCGUCCACGGGUGCCCCUGGACCAUCCUCUUCGGCACCUCCCCCAUCUUCCUCCGUCGAUAGCCAGCUUGCAGCCCUCCGGUUCCAGAUGCAACACAUGGACACUCGCAUGGAUCGGAUGGAGCGUCAAAUGGGCGGGGUGGCCCAGAAUAUAGCGCAGUAUCUCCAUCACGUGGGCUUUCGCCCGCCUUUUCCUCCGCAGCCGUGAUUCAUUUCUGCCCUCCUCCGUUUUAAGGGAAGUGUUGUUGCCCCGAUACCUCUAAUUUGGUCUUACUUUGCUUACAUUGAGGGCAAUGUCAAGUUUAGGUGUGGGGGAGGGUUAAUUAUGCUGUGGUUGUGUUUUUAGUUGUCUGUUUAAAUUUUUUUUUUCCUUGCCUUAGUAGUUGUCUUUUCUUUGAACGAUGAUGAAUGCGAAUUGGGAUAUAAGCGUACAUAGUAAGUUCAUGCCAUGGGGUGUUCCACUUUCCUUGAUACUGAAUUGAUUGAUUAAUAUGCUGAACUUGACAUCCAUUUGAUCACUUGUGCGAUUUUUGGGCCUAAUUUUUCGUUUUGUUGAGUGAUUAGUGCACAUGGUUUGUCAUUCUAGAACUUGCUCGGUUAUGCAUGUCAAGACCACAUUUUAAUGAAUUUAAUGCAUUGAAAUGAUAGGGCACCUAGGAAUGAGCCAUUUUGGACUUUCUUACAACUCACCCUUGGAUUAUUUUACCAUUAGGGAGCCAAGUUGAGCUUUACAUCCUAUUUUUCGCUUGAGACCCUAGUUUUUAGCCGCAAAACCUCUCCUUAGACUUUUUGAACCUUGUGUGAAGAAGUGCUUUGAUUUCACUAUACAGAAUUUUGGAGUAUUACUUGAGGGGCAUCAUACCUAUCUAUGGAAAAAAAACAAGAGAAAAAAAAGAAAAAAAAGAAAAAGAAAGGUGCAAAGAAGACGAAGUGCAUGAAAUCAACAAGGUUGAUUCUUAUGGUGCUGGUUGGGAGUUAGUGUACAAAACUUAUAGCAAAAAAAGAGGGAAAAAAAAAGAAAAGGGGAAAAAAAGGAGGAGAAAGAAAGAGUCAAAGGUCGUGGCAAGUGCUAAUUCACUUCACUUGUGUGAUGGUUGAGAUGCCUUUAAAUUUCAAAUGUGCAAGAAUCUGUGUAAUGAAUUUCUGAGCACUUUCCUUAUACUUUUGCACCCUUUCUACUCCUUUUUAUCCUACCUCCUCACCCUAGCCCCAUUACAACCUUUUGAAGUCCUUUGAUUGCUGCAUUUAAAUUCAUAAGUAAGUGGUGGAGAUAUGAUAUAAGAGCAAGCUUAUGGUAGUGCCAUUCUAUUGUGUUGAUUUGAGAGCCAUCUUAUAUACAUUUCAUAUACACUUUGGAGUGAAUGAGUGCACUUUAAACUGCGAGAAUUGUUGAUUUGGUAUAUUCUGAUUUCGAUAAGGUUAUUGGGGAGCUUGGAAUGCCAUUCUUGGUAUGAACUGCUGUGAUUUGCUUAGCAUCUUGAUUGUACUUCUGAGUUAAUUAUGCUUGAGGGCAAGCAUAGUUCAGGUGUGGGGGAGAUUGAUAGGAUGCAUUUUAGUGGGUAUUUUGGGCGUUAUUGCACAAUGAAUUGACUAAAUAUUUUCAUUAAUUGGGUGGAUUCCACUAAUAUUUUGUUUUGAUGCUAAUUGCAGGAUUGGAUGCUGUAAAGCGCUUAAAAUCAGAAUUUAGAAGAUUUGCCGCACGUGGGGCCUACUUGCGAAGUUGAAGAAAUUAAAAUCCUUCUGAUUAACCUUGACCCGUGAAAUGAAGCAAUUGAAACCAAAUCUCUCGUAUGUCUCUUUUGGUCAAAAUUGAGUAAAAGCUAAGAAGGAAUUCGGCAGACUUGUGCCAAUUGGGGGGGCCCACAAAGAAGAAAAGGCUUUUCAAUUGGCCUUUUGAACGUACGAGGAUAAGUUGUUCCUUGGGAGUCUUUGGCUUGCUGGACAAUUGCGGCGGGACCAGCGACCAGGGAGCCUGAGUCAACUUCCUUUUUGGGGAUACAAGUAGAGACGUACAGGAGAAAAGAAGGGGAUCCCUUCUGGCGGCUCUCAGUUUCUAGUUUAGCUUGAGUUUUUCUUUUUCUUUGUUUUGUCCUUUUUACUGGCCUCUGACACACGCCAGGUGUUCGAUAAUAUUCCCCAACGGGAAAAACAUAUUUUAUUCCUUGCUUUCUAGUAAAAAUCGCCACGCUUUUGCAAUCCAUUAUUUCGUGUGGUGAUUUAAUUAUGCAGCGUGGCUAAGCCUUCAAUCUAGUCAAGGGGACAACUGACGAAUUGGUUCACCAUCACUGUGAGAUCUAAACUUAUUUUAAUUGUUUCCUCCAUUUAUUGGUAUUCAUAUGUUUCCUGCUUUUAACUGUUAUAGCUCUUGUGUAUGAUUGAUUAGUGCGCAAUAAUUAGUUAUCCACGUAGGCUAUUUUGCUAUAUAGGGAUAAUUGAAUCCGUAAUUAUUCGUUAUUUCUAUUCUAGUAGCAACUAGCACAAUUGGAUUUGUGUCAGGGGAACAUUUGAUCUGGCUUGAAUGAACCCUCGUAGCGUGUUUGUUAGUCAGGAUUGGGCCUUUCUAAUUACUAAUGCAAUCUAGAAAUUGAAUCCUACGGUCGUACCUGGGGUUGUUUUUGGGUUAGAGAAAUAGCUAACGGUCGUACCUUAGCUAUCGAUAAAUUACGGAAGGGUUGGUUGUUUAGCGCGUGCGAGACAACUAUAACCAAUCUAUUAGUAAAUGCUGGAAUUAUCCAUGAAUCAAUGAUCAGUUGCAUGAACCAUUUCUGAAGUACACCCUUGGCUAGAGUUUCUCUCAUUUAUUUCUUUUAAUUAAUUCUUUUCUGCAGUUAAUUUGUUUAGUUGGCAUUUGAUACCAAAACCCCCCAUUAAUCUUGACUUCAAAAAGAAACAAAUAUCUCUCCAGUCCCUGAGGAGACGACCCUGCUUACCACUGUCUACUAGUUAGGGAAUUCAGUUAAAUAAUUAAUUCAGGUAUAUCGGAUUAAGCAAACUCUUCGGGAACAGGGUGAAUCAAGUAACCCAUUGCACACCUAGAGUCCCUGCUCCAGUACUCGAAUUGACUAUUGACUGCUUUAGGUGGUAGUUAGGUUUUAUUUAUUAUUAUUGCACAGGUUCGGCACCUGUCAACUCCGCAUAACAAACUGCUGUUUGUCGCGUACAGAAUAACCCAAAAGAUUAAGCUAUUCGAUCUAUGUCACCUCUAAAUCCUUUUCAUUCAAUAUCUCUUCUAUCCUAGAUUCAUUGUAAAAUAUCCCUUACAUGGUUUUGACAAAUUUUUAACAAUUGGGUUAUCCUUAAUUUUUCUUGUAAACAAAAUCCUAUGAUCUUUCGAGCGAAAGUUCAACAAAAUUGGUGUUAAGAUUGCCUCCCCCCCCUGUGGUCUCCUCUUCAUCUAUUCCAGAUGUGAGGGUCUCUCACGACUUUCUCUUCAUCAGCUAAAGAAUACGAUGACUUAGAAGGGUUUUUUUUUUAUCUUAUUUAUGUAAUCUUUAAAUUCGUGUCUCAAGUUUUCUUAAUUCUAUUUUAUGCUCUUACCUUUAAUUAUAUACACAAUAACCCAUUCUAAUAGGUCAAGGGCUAAAUUAUAAUUAAAUUUUUGGCUCUGCAUAUUUCAACAUGUCAAUUAAAUGAUUUUAAUGUGUUAAUUCCUAAACCAAAUUCUUGAAGAAUUGGCAUCUUUGAAACUUGCUAUGAUCACCAUUUUGGUUAUUCUAUGCAUUUUCUUUCUUUUUUCCUUUUUAUUUGCAUAAAAAUAUUUAUUUACUAACUUGGUAUGUGUCUAUGUUUUAUUAUAAUGAUAUAUUAUUUCUCUUUUUCUUUAUCAAAAGCAAAUUUUAUUAAUAGAUUGCUAGAAUUUGUUCAACACAAUUUGAUUUAUAUCAUUACCUUAAUGACAUGUUAAACAUGUACUAAAAAUAUCAUAUCUACAAUUUAACAAAUACGUUAGAACUGAAAAAUUAUGAAUAGAUCCAAAAAAUACAAGAAAUUUUAAAAUUAUUUUCUAAUAAAAUAAAUGGCUCCAGUUUCUUUUUAUGCAUGUUGCAAUUGCUAGAUUUGCUAAUUAACAAUUUUAAACUCCAAUAAUAAUGUUGAGAUCUAUUAAAAUAGAUGCAAGAUUAAAAAAAUUCCAAAUCUGACAACCAACUUUGAAAUCAAUUAACUUAUAACAACAAAAUAAGGAAAAAAAACACAAAAAUCUGACUAGGAACUCUAAGGAGAACAGAAGAUUCUCACUAAGAACUCCUAGAAGAAAUAGAGAACUCUCACUUAUAAGAAAACUCAGAAGAAACUUUAAUUAUAUCACCUAAUUAUACCCUACCCAAAUCCGCAUAUGAUCAACCAUUUUGACAAUUCUUGUGGCUAUGUGCCUGAUCUUUUCUCUCGAUAGGAGUUAUGUAGAAUUGGAGAAGCACGUUAUCAAAUUAUAAAAUUUGUCAAAUUGGUCCCUAAUAUUUAUAAAAAAUACUUUUUUAGUCCAUAACAUUUAAAAUCAGCCAAAAUAGUCUCUAAAAUAUAAAUUAUGAGCGAUUGUGAUUCUAAUGCUCGUAUUUGCUCAUUUUUUCUUGGAAAUGAAUUUUUUUUUAAGAAAAUAUUAGAAAUUAAUUUGACAAAUUUCCCUAUCAAAUUUAAGGCAAAAUGGAAGUGAUACAUGUAUAUCACAAUAACAUGUUAAAGUCGGACCACCUGCAACCGUUCCUAGCGAUUUUGUGCAUUUUGCACACCGUAUAAUUUUAUUUGCACAACAUAUAAUUUUAAAAUAAAUUUUUAUGGGUUCCAUACAUGUUAUUAAAAAUAAGGUAUAAAAAGUGAUUUUAAUCGUAUAAUUUUUUUGGAUCAAAUUUUGAUUCUAAACAGCUCAGGAUCGGUCCAUCUGAUAGCCGCUCCUGCCCUCUCAUCCGUCAAAGUCUGUGUCAAGCCAAAGUAAUUUGACAACUGAAAGAUUACUGUCAAAUGCCUUUGACACUACAACGACCAAGGCAAAUGCACACUAAAAUGUCGACGGUCCGGAAAACUGAGUGAUAAAUGAUACUGACGUGGACUUUUCAUUUAAAACGUCUCUUUGUAUUGAGUAUGCCUUUAUGGAUCUCUCUGAUUCUUAUCGAAAGUGUGCCUUCUGAUUUCCAGAGAAUUCUGAUUUCCAGAGAAUACUGCUGGGAUCAAAUCAAUCAAUCUCUACACGAAAGCUCAAGAUUUUAGAGAUAAUAAAGGUAUCACGAUUUUGAAGAUUCCAAAACUAUCGCUACUUUUAAUAAAGUUAUAAUCUUAAGGUGAUAAAAUUGAUGUGAUUUACGAAAAGAUAUUAUUACCAUUUUGAAGAAGUUAUUUGAAAUAUUUUAAAAUUUUCUAUAAAUAGGAGUUAUCCCCUCUUAUAUUAAUGAUGCAGAAUUAAGAGAAAGUUCAUUUGACUAAAUGAAAAUAUUUCUUCUUUCAUUCUUACUUACCUUUUCUCCUGAGUUCAUUAAUUUUCUUAAUUUUCUUAGCAUAGCACCCACCAUAUAAAUAAUAUAAAAUCUACCACUAUAUUAGCAUUAGUUUUAUAACAAAAAUAAGUAUCAUGCUCUCUAUUUUGCUGAGCUUUUGUGUAAUUGCUUGUAGAUCAUUAAAUAAUAUAUUUUUCAAUUUACAAAUAAAGCAUAAUAAAUUUUACAACUAGUGAAAUAAGUGCUUUAUAACUAGAUCAUCUCCUCCCUAAAAAUAGUACAAAAAGUCUUUCAGAAAACAUGUAAAUUUAUAUUGCUUUUAAUUUAUUUUUAUGAAAGAAAUGCAAAAUAAAUAGAUGGAGCACAUGUACAACAUGUGAUUUAUUUCGUCAUUAAUUGGUAUGAUUAGUCACCUAGUCUUUAUGUAAUUACAGCUGAGUGCUUUAAAUUUGUUUUAUAUUUUUAUGUUGUUUACAAUUUUUUCUAUAGUUUCUCACGAUUUUUUUUGUAUGCCAUAUUAAUAAUUUUUCUUAAUAUAUUAUUCAAUACUAGUGGCUAAUUUGGUCAGAACAACAUACUUUAAGACUCCAUAUGUUUAGAUCCAAACAUUCAGGAUUAAUUUAAUCAAAAUUCAAUGUCAUAGGGAUUGCAUAUAUUUUGAUCAACGUGUUGCUCACAAAUUUAAUUCAUCCCCCAAUUAUUAAGGACCAAAUCUGCCUACUUACCAAAAAAAAUUAAAAUUUCCGAACGAAAAGAUUUGAACAAACCAUAUGGAUUCAUUUAUACAUAAAAAGAAAGUAGAAAGAAACUAAAAUUUCCAAAUUAAUGAUGGGACCAAGCGACUGAGAUGAUAUUCAUUACAUUUAUUUGUAUCUAGUGUAUUUGGUACUACUAGUGCAGUGCUUUAAUUCAGUGAAAUGAUUAUUGUUAUCUAAAGUAAUAAAUGGUAUGCUAAUGGUGAAAGAAUUUUAACGUAGUAUAGAACUAUAGAUACAUACAGAAUAUUUAUGCUAUAAACUGAUUUUUCAAUUUCUUAUCGUCUAUUUUAUUACAUUAAGAAUAUUAUGAUUGGUAGUAAAAAUUACAUUUUACAUAAUUAGGAAAUUUAUAUGUUAGGUCUGGCUUCAGGAAAUCGACAAAAGGAUUUUUGGCAACUCUCAAAAGACAAAUAACAAAGUAAAAAUAAAACAGGAAUACAAGAAUUUACGUGGUUCGGUCAAAUUAACCUACGUUCACGGGCGGAGGAGGAAUAAUAUUUUAUGAUGAAAAAGAGAGUACAAAAAUACCUUAGGAAAAUAUUUCUAAACCCAAAAAUACCUAAUACUAAAAAACACAAGAGAGCCCAAAAAAUUUUUUAACUAAACAAAAGGCUUAAUGACCCAAAUGCUCAAAUUGCCCACUAAAGCUCUCUUGGUUUUGGUGUACUUAAUUCCAUCACAGGCCUAUUAUAUUUAUAGGUAACUAAGGGAAAUGUUCCCUUAUACAAAAGGCGAUAUGGGACAACGCCAUAUUAAUAAAUUUCCACCUUGACGUGUCCCCAACAUCGACAAUAGCAAAACGACUCCACCUUCUUCACAUAAGUCCCAAUGGGCCUAAAUCACCAACAACGAAUACCAAUCCAAUUCAAGCAUUGUUUGAACUUGUAAACUAGAAGAUGUUUCGUGAACAUGUCAGCAGGAUUCUCUUUGGUACUGAUUUUCUGAACAAGAACUUUUCCCUCAGCAAUAGUAUCUCGAAUAAAAUGAAAUUUCACAUCAAUGUGUUUCUUCCUCUCAUGAUAUAUCUGGUCUUUAGUCAAAUGAAUGAAACUUUGACUAUCACAGUAAAUAUUAGUAAUACCUUGAUGUAGAUUAAGUUUGCCAAACAAACUUUUCAACCAUAAGACUUCUUUGAUUGCCUCAGUCAUGGCCAUAUAUUCUGCCUCCAUAGUAGAUAAAGCAACAACAAAUUGUAAAGUAGCUUUCCAACUGACUACACAACCGCCAAUGCAGAAUAUUAACCUGAAAGUGAUCUUUUCCUAUCAAGAUCUCCCGCAUAGUCAGAAUCUACAAAACCAACCAAAGUGUCAUUAUUUCUUUCAAAUUUCAAACAACAAUUUGAAGUCCCUCGCAAGUAUUUGAGAAUCCACUUCACAGCCUGCCAAUGUGUUUUUCUAGGACAAGACAUAUAUCUGCUAACCACACUGACUACUUGUACAAUAUCUGGACGAGUACAAGCCAUUGCAUACAUAAUGCUACUGUGACGCCCCUACUUCGCCCUAAGGCGAACCAAAGGGUAUCCGCGGAACGCCUGCCCAACUCUCGCCAGGACUCACUACAAUCCAUAAUUCAAAAGUUCGGAACAUUUCAAAUAACUUCAAUACAUAAUUAAAGUACUCCAAAAUAUCUCACACUUACAAUUAAUCAGCUCUCAAGCUCAAUACAACUCAAAAGAAUAUUUACUAUAGCCACCUGCUGUAAUACAAUUUAAAAUCUUCAAAAGAAAGCAAUCUAAUACUAUUCACGAGCACUCUUGGUGUCAAACCCUGUUAAAGAAACCCAAAACGUGGGAUGAGCUACACAGUCCAGUGAGGUUCCAAAAAACUCUAGCAGUUCUAAUAAAUCAAGUAAUUGAGCAUACUGCAAGUAUGGUUCAAGGUUGCACAUUGGCAUAUUAACAUGAGACAAUAAUCAUUGUACGAAUAAUUUAAGCAUAUCGCAAGUAUAGCACAUUUGUAUGAAACGGUUAUCAUUAUAUAAAAUACGCACACAUUUGAAGGAUACGGUGUUCCAGUGGAACCAUUUCGGUCAUCUGCACCUUAUAACUUUCGAUCCCCACGGUACUGUCUGGCUAUCACCUUAUUCCUCCAGUGGUAAUACUCGAGUAUACCGAAAUGGUGGCCCAGUGUUCCAACCUACCCAACCGAGCCCAGUCUUGACUUGAGUAGGUCAGUAACCAAGGGCAGGGUCCAAGUUUAGCUUAGAGCUUACAACCUGCACAAGUAAUCAAAUAACUUGGCUAACGGUAGAAAUUUAUUCUUUUGGUAGGUCGAGUGAGAUAAAGUACACACUCGCCUUAAAAUGGUGGACAAUUUCAUAUGAGCAAUUACUAGCAACAAUUAACACAUAACACAUAAGCAAUAUUUGAUAAUUUCAUGUGAACAUGUAAUUUACGGUAAUCAAGUAAUCAAGUACCAAGUAAUCAAGUAGAUAGGAAAACGGUAAGUAAUUACGGUAAACGGUUGACGGUUAACGGUUGACGGUUAACGGUAGACAUUAGUCAUUUUAAUAGGCCGCCAUUGGCCGUUUCUCAUUUUUAUCACUUAAGAGUCGAGGAGAUUCACUUCAACCGACUUAUGCAGCCAUAGCAUAAUUAAUCCUUUAAAAACAUUACAUAAAUAUGCAAUUCAAGUAUUUCAUGUCGAGUAAUUCCAGUAUACAUUACUUAAAUAUGCAUGAGUGUGGUAAAUACUUGACAUGUAGCAUUUAACACUUAAUGAUCAUGGAAUAAGCAUGUCAUAGACUUAUUCAAAUUACGUACUCCUAUAUGUUAGGUCUGGCCCCAGGAAAUCGACAAAAGGAUUUUUGGCAACUCUUGAAAGACAAAUAACAAAACAAAAAUAAAACAGGAACACAGAAAUUUACGUGGUUUAGUCAAAUUGACCUACAUCCACGGGCGGAGGAGGAGUAAUAUUUUCCUAUGAAGAAGAGAGUACAAAAAUACCUUAGGAAAGUGUUCCUAAACCCAAAAACACAAAAGGUUUAAUGACCCAAAGACCCAAAUAACCCAUUAAUACUCUCUUGGUUUUGGUGCACUUAACUCUAUUACAGACCCACUAUAUUUAUAGGCAACUAAGGGAAAGAUUCCUUUAUACAAAAGGCGAUGUGGGACAAUGCCACAUUAACAUUAUAAAUUAUAGAAAAUGUUUCUCACUUUGGAGAUAUAUCAGUCAUGGCUAUAGCGUUGAAUGUUAAUCCAAUCAUUUUAACUCAUCCAAACUUAUCAACAAAUAAAUGGCUUUGGAUAUGCACCAAAUUUUAAGUUCAAAAUGAGUGAUCUAAUUAAACACACUUAUUAGUAGAUAUUAAGUGGGUGGAUUUGUUUCACUGAUUUAUAAUUAUUUGAAAUUAACUGUAGAUUCAAAUUCAAUGAUUAAUGGGUGCUAAGUGGGUGACUUUAAUUUCCAGACUUAAAUUUCAUGGUGGGGGGCCGUGGGAUAAAGAAAGCUCUUGGCAAAUCAGCUAAUCAACUUGACAAAGAGCCGGAGGAGUAUCACGCUAUGCAAUCUGGAGGAGAUCUGUUAUGCAAUGAAAACCGUUAGUGACAAAUGGUAGUCGUACAAAGUUUGAGAAGUCGAGUGCUGGUUAAGUAUUUUGAUGCGUUAGAACAACUUUAUGCUCAGUAUUAUGUACUUUGCAGUGCCUCGAUGAAGUUGGUUAGUGUUUAGAUUUGAGCGGUUAGGCUUCUAUUGCCUUUAAUCACCUUCUUUUACUUUUAGAAUCUUGUGUUAAAGUGGUUAUAUCCUGCACCUUCUUUAAUUUUUAGAAUGUUGUGUUAAAGUGAUACCGCCAGAGUUCACAGUUUAGCUAAAUGAAUACUCGAGGGUAGGAAUAUUUUUUUGGCCAUUGGCAAUUUGCUAUCCUUGUGUUAAUUGAACUAUCUUGUUAUAGUUGCCAAGUUGUAUGGAAAGGUUUGUGCUCUUUAUGUGGGCGAAGGAUGGAUGAGAAAUCAAUAUACAGGAGCUACUAUGCUUCAUGAUGGUAACUAUUUUUGUUUUAUUUAUUAGUUUUAUGUUAUUAUUUUAUUUUCUCGUAAUUUAUUAACUUGGUCAUUUUUUAGUAUUACCAAUUUUGAUAAGGUAUAGUCACCUUUCUUAUCUCUUUAAAAUAAAAUUUUAAAUUUAUGUUAAAAAAAAGUUAGAGGUUCAAAGUUUUGAAAUAAUUUUUUAUGUUAACUUUCAUACUGAUUAAGUUUUUGUGGGGUUUGGCGGGUUUGUUUGAUUGCAUUAAAUAAAGAAGCUCGAUGGAUGAUGAUAUGGUUUAUUGAUCCUUUUUUUUGUUGUGUUCAGAUAUGUUGGAGUGGGAGAAAAUGACAGCAUGCAGCUGCUGUUCUACUACUUCAUCCAGUCGGAGAGAGAUGUCACCAUGGACCCUGUCGUGGUUUGGCUCAAAUGACGGAGUCAAGGAGGCUGAAGGGGGCCAAGUUUUGAAAAUUUUAAUUCAUAAUAUGUAAAUAUAUGUAUAAGAUAAAGUUGUCAUCUCCUAAUUUUUUAUAAUUUUAGUUUAUAUUAUGAGAAUUUAUAUAUAUGCUUGUGUGUGUAUGAAUUAGCCACUUUUGAUUUAAUUUUUUCUUCAAAAAAAUUAUUUAUUUUUUAUUGUACUAAUUAUUUAACAUUCAAAAAAUUAAAUGUAUAAUUUGAUGAUCCAUAGUAAAUUGACCCAAUUUGAUGUAUUAUAAUAAAAGACUCAAUUCAUAAUUAUCAAUAGACUAAAACAAAAAUAAUUACUUUAUUGGUCCAUACACAAAUAUAUAACUUAGCCUAAUUGAUUAAAAAAUUUAAAAUUAAUGAUCCAUCCUCUUGUUGACCCAAAUACAAAUAUACAAAUAAUUACUUGAAGGCUUCGUGAAAAUAAGAAAUUGAGUGAUAUAUUCUAUUGUUCACAGAUUAAUUAUAUUUGUUUUCACUCUUCCUAUAUCAACUGUAACUAUAGAACGUGCAUUUUCAAUUAUGAAUAUAAUCAAAAAAAGCUCCAAAACAAGAUAAAAGAUAAUUUCUUGAAUAAUUGUUUAACAAUGUACAUAAAAAAAAAGGAAGUUGUUCAAAAAUUUAGCACUAAUUCAAUUAUAGAUGAAUUUAGUUUUAUGAAAGAACGUAAAACUCAAUUUACUUUUAAGAAAAGAUGUUGAAAUUUCAAGGUAUGCUAACAUAACUUUUAUCUUUUAUUAAUUGAAAAUAGUUAUAUUAUAUUGUAUAGUUUUAUUUUUGUUUUUGCACAAGUGACAUAUUGGAGCAUCUUCUCAUAAUGUAAAAUUUUGGUAGUUUGUGAUGUUAUAAGAUAUUUAAUCAAAGGUUAUUUCUUGUCCUAAUUUUUGUUAUGACUAUACUGCAUAUUUAUGAAAUAGACAUACCUUUAUAAUUAAAGUUAAUAUUUGAUAUUUUAAGAUGUCAUAUAUUUAAAUAGAUGAAAAUUAUUUCGAACAUAACAUAUUAAGAUAAUUUUGUUCAGAAAAAUUUUGGUCUCCCUCCUAAGGAAAAAAUCUUGGCUCCUUUCUAUAGUCUAUAGAAUGGACAUUUUCAAUUAUGAAGAUAAUCAAAACAAAGUUUCAAACAAGAUAAAAGGUCAUUUCUUGAAUGAUUGCCUAACAAUGUACAUAAAAAAAAGGAAGUUGUUCGAAAAUUUAGUUUUGAUUCAAUUAUAAAUGAAUUUAGUUCUAUGAAAGAACGUAAAACUCAAUUUACUUUUAAUAAAAGAGGAUGAAAUUUUAAGAUAUGUUAACAUAACUUUUAUCUUUUUUUAAUUGAAAAUAGUUAUAUUUAUAUUGCAUAGUUAUAAUUUUGUUUUUGCACAAGUGAUAUAUUGGAGAAUCUUCUCAUAAUGUGCAACCCAGGUGGUUUGUGAUGUUAUAAGAUAUUUAAUUAAAUAUUAUUUCUUGUAUUAAUUUUAGUUAUGAGUAUGCUACAUAUUUAUGAAAUAGACAUACCUUUAUAAUUAAAAUUAAUAUUUGAUAUUUUAAGAUGUCAUAUAUUUAAAUAAAUAAAAAUUAUUUUGAACAUAAUAUAUUAAGAUAAUUUUGUUCGAAAAAAUUUUGGACCCAAAAAAAAAAAUAUCCUGGCUCCGUCACCGACUUAUCGGUUGAUCUGCUUUUUCUGGUCCUGUUUACGAAAUCGGUAUGCUCUCUGCUUUUUUCGGUCUUGUUUACAAAAUUGGCAAGGGUAUGCCCUGUUGAGUCUCGUUCCAAUUUUUUUUCCCACUUUUAACAGGCGAGGAGCUUAGAUUUAAGAAACGGGAAGAGGGGCGAGAAUUUAAUUAAACCCAAGCUAGUGGUGUAAACUGUAAAUUAAUUUUUUUAUUUAAUGUAAAUUAAUGACAAGACUUGUGGAAAACGGACAAAAUGGUGGAACUGUUACAUUUAUUAGACAUCGGUGGGUGGGACACUCACUGCUGAGCAUCUAAUGACUAUGCAUUUUGUUUUACUGGCCUUCAUUUUCGUUUGGUAAGUAAUUGACAACCUUAUCGCUCUCCUUAAAAUUAGUGGCGGAAAUGGCCAAAUGACGAAAAAGUCACUCCAUUGUUGGUUGCUCUGCCGUACCCGGCCCAGCAGUCAAAGAAACGUGGAAUCAUAGAUUAUGCAAACUAAUACUAGUCCUCUCUCUCUCUCUCUCUCUCUCUCCGUAGCUCUUUCCAGAGUUAUGGACCGUUGUUAUCCACACAUCAAUUUAAAAGGGGAUGAGCUACUUAUUCAUCCGGUGAUAUUUACUUUAUCCCGAAGCCUCCUUUUUUAUCCCUCUUCCUCCCUCUCGCAUAUAACGCUUGUGGUCUCUUCCAACUUUUCGCUCUUCUUGAUACUUUUCAACUAUAUACUCCCUCCGUCCCAUUGAAAGUAUCAUGCUUUCCUUUUUUAUCUGUCCCAAAAUUAAUAUCAUUUACCACAAUUGACAAUAAAAACUUUUCUCCAUUUCCAUCUUAUGCCCUUAAAUAUACCAGAUUCUUUUAAGAUUUUGAUGGGUCUCAAAAAAUUAUAAGAAUUGCACUUGAUAUGCGUGAGUUUCACAGCAAAUGGAAACAAUGGUCGUGCAAGGAACAUUCCAAAAAAGCGGCUGAGACAUUGUUGAAAUAUGGGUCCCACGGGUCUGUCAUCACUCCAUUGUCAUUCUAAUAAUCAAUAAGUUACGCUGCUCCAUAGAAAUCGGAUAGGGGCAUUGCUGGAAGUUACACCAAAAUCGUUUGAAAUCCAGACACUGUUGAAAAUAAACACAACUCCUAAAGUGCGACAAUUAUUUCGGGACGGAGAGAGUAUUUCUCAACCGCUUUAUCUCCUUUCUCUUCCGUCUUUGCACUUCUCUCUCCUCUCCUCCUCUCACAAUCACACCGCGUUCAGAGUUUUCAAUUCUUCUAUAACUUCUUCAUGCAACUUGUUCCAAUCAGGCAAUUCCUACCUUUUUAUCAAAUAACAUUUGCCUCAAUUUCCUUUGAACCAUAAAUUGAGACUCACAAUUGUGCAUCGAACCAAUCUCUGGAUCCAACUUCAAAUUAGGUAGUUCUAUUUUAUAACCAAUGACCAAUUAGAAGAAAUUAAAAAUUUUUCUAAAAAGAGAAAAUUUUGCCAUGACCAAAUUAGGUAUCAGUAGUUAUGUGAGGUAGAGUUGUUUCGCCAGUGAUUUGUGAUUUAUAUGUUGAAACUUUUGUAAAUGUGAUUAUAGAAUCAUAUUCAAGGAUUUGAACAUAUUUUCAAUUGGAUCAUUCAUCUUUCAAAAUUCAUUGCAGUCUACGAAUUUGUGAUUAUUUUCAACGGAUGACAGAUGAUCAUAACCAGUCCUGGGCAUGACGUUGUUCUUAUUUAAGCUAGGAAAAUCAAAGGAAUUUUAGCACAAAAAAAAGUAAAACUUAGUCUAGAUAAUCGGUUGUUACAGCGGCGCCUGUAAGUUUAAAACUUGCACGUCCGUAGCGCUACCGUUGCUCUAGAAAUAAUUGAUACCAUCAAAAGAAAAGAAACCCAUCGUUGUCUCCACUCUCCACCUGCACCAUCUUCUUCCUACUCUUUUCCAUUGCCACUCUCCUGCUUACUCUACCUUCUCCUCCCUCCUUUUUUUGUUUUUCACUCAAACCUCAAUUGUUAUAUCACCGACAACUACUCCAUCUUGAUACCAUCAGCCACCAAUCCCCCUAAAUUAUCCUCUCUUCUCUCUUUUCAACCGUUUGCUAUGAAACCGAUGUGGACUUCCUUGAGAUCUAAAUUGAGAUAGUCACGCAUGGAUCUGCAAUUUUUCGAAUCACAUAUUGGCUGCCAAUGUUUCCUUUUUUCUUGUUAGACUUUCUUUGGAGAUCACAUCAAUGGUUCAGGGGCCAAGAUGAAGGAUGAUAGGGGCCAAAAAAAAAAAAAGACAAGGGAUAAAGAUGAGCUGGUAAAGCCGUCGGUGGGAAAUUGGUGGUGUUGAUUUGCCAUGAAGUUCAGUUUCAAUAGGUCCAUAUUCACCUUCACUCGGGUACUCGAAUGACUCAGGCUGGUUAUAACACAGUAUUUGAAAUUUUUCUAGAAGUAUAUCAUUAGUGAACUGAACUUUUGUUAUUUGAAUUAGUAGCAUUUUGUCGUCAGUGGUACCAGAAGCUACCGGCUUUUAGUAUUACAGCGAGUUUAAAGUUAGAAAUUAUUUUUGUACUUCUGACAAAAAAGAAUUAGUAGCAUUUUGUUAUGUGAAGUUUCGCCGGCAAAACUGCAACGCAGAAGAAAGAGAAAUUCUUUGAAUCGGGCAUUUUGGUCUUUUAAUCACAUCCAACUAACAGAAGAGUUUAGGACUGUCACUGACAAGGGGGUAAAAAUAAUUUCAUCAAACUACAGGGCUUGUUUUGUAAUAUGGGUAAGCCACAAGCGAGGUAAAUAUAAUUAACCCUAUAUAUAUAUAUAUAUAUUAAAAAAUGGAAUCGGUUACAAAUUAGGGAGUGCAAAAUUAAAUUAAUCCUAAAAAAGGAUCAAAUGACUCUAUAAUCAAUCUGCAUAACAAGAGGUGUGAGGACAUUCUUUUGGUCUGAUUAGAUCUGUAAAGAUUAGAUUAUAGAAAUAUUAUGGCAAAAAACUAAAAAAAAAAUAGAUCUGUGAUAAAGAUGAGGUUAGUAGUCUGUGAAGUUUUUGGUCACUUAAUCACAUCCAAGUAACAGAGUUUAGGCACUGUCACUGAGAAGGGGGUAAAAAUAAUUUUAUCAAACUACAGGGAUUGUUUUGUAAUAUGGAUAAACUACAAGCUAGCGAUCGGUUUGCAUAACGGCAAUAACAAAGACAAUAAAAUUACAUUUCUCACCAAAUUUCUACAUGGUAUAAUGUAAUAUUACAUCUCAAAAGCCUUCUUUGACCCAGUUUUUAUUACAAAUUCUCAAGAAGUAACAACUUCCACGGUGUACUAGCUAAAUUGGAUACCUCAUACAUGUUCGGGAUAAUUAAGUACAGGAACAAAGUAAUAAAUUGACAAUUACGAGUCUGGUUUUGUACUAAUUUUCGGUUUGAGGUUUCAGCUGCCGGUCUUUCUUUUCAUUUGACAGCUGCUUUGCAAACCUAUAAAAGAUGUGAAAAAAAGAUUAAACAAAUAAACAAACAAAAACCAAUAUGUUCUGCAAUUACUAUUCCAAGUUUUGACGAGCAAAGAAUUUUAUUUUCCACUUUAACGUCCUACCCGUCUAUUGUUGGUACUUAUUUUACUUAAUACGAGAGGGUUUAAGCUAAUUACCCAUAAUAUUUAAGUCCAACUCUCUAAAUAUAUGAAAUGUUUGUUGAAUAUCUAAAGCAUUAUUUUCUACCUUUUCAAAGCCUCCUUGUUUGUACCGCCGCCCCCUACUUCCUCGUGUUGUCCUGUGAGCAAAUUCACCCUUGAGACUGUUUUUUCGAGCAAUUUUGAACCAAUUUUCCCAAGGUCUUCCAUGUUUUUUUUUGUCGCCACAUCAACUGAGGCGGUUUGUUCUUUUAAUGUGUCAUCCUGCGGGCAAUGCAAUGGUUAAAGUUGAGCGAGUCCUUAAUGGUAAUAUUCUGGUUAAAAUUGUUGUAGGCCAAAAGUGCGAUUUCUAAUUUAUCAACAACUUUUUAGCACAAAAACUUCCAAUUUCAGUUUAAAAGAUACGCAAAAUUAUGGAUAAAAUACGAAGACCAUACGAUUUCUUUGGGGCUAAUGAUCUCUUUGUUAUGAUUUUCUAGAGUGAAAAGGGAAAUCAAAUUGAAUUUGACUGAAAGGAUGUUUGAUUACUUGAAUACGAAGAUAGUUGGCUUCAGAAUCAACAGCUUUGAAAGUCACAGAUAUAUGAUAAUCCACCAUAUCUUGACUUGCCUCGGCAAACAUCUCUACUAUUGGUGGCAUAGACCCGUUAAGCACCCAACCCAAACGGUUCCAUUUGUUCACCUUUUCAGCGCUGAAUUUCUUUUCUUUCCUUGCUGAUCCUGCGCCAAUUGAGAUCACCAGACAGCGGCCAUGGUCCAUUGGCUUCAUUUUGGAGAAAUCUGGACCAUUAUCCCCCCUUUGUUUGGUUGCAUGUGUCAUGGCUAGUAGGGUCUGUCCAUUUAACAAAAAAAAAAAAAAAGAAAAAGAAAAUGAGGCAGUUGCAUCAAGUCCGUUUUGAUCAUAAACAUUUGAGAGAUUUAUAAAAUGCCACUCAGUUAACACUUGAAAAAAGGCAAAAGUCAGAAAAGGACAAGUGGAAAGCAAAUUUUCCAUUGCAAGAAAAAGGCCUUGGAAAUGGCAAAUUAUCCUUUUUCCUUCUCCAUUUUUUGAGUUUUGAGGGGUCGAGCAACUUGUAUACCAUCCGCGAUGAACAUCAAAGGGGCUAUACUACACUUUACAGUUUAUACCCUUGAAUUUAAAUCUAGAACGCUUUGCAUCCCAAACUCCUCAAUUAAUACCUUACUAGUCCAUCUAUUGACUAAUUACACCAAAACCAAGAAAAUGAACAUUGGUUUUGUGACAUUCAUUAAAAAAAAGAAAGUGGACUAAAGUAGGACGAGUUAAAGGGUUUAGGGUGGCAAAAGUUUCAAAUUAAAGUUCGAAAUGUAAAACGUCCCAAAUUAAAAUAUCAAAAGCAAACUGAUAAUUGAUAUCAUGCUUUUGGGAUUAAACUAAAAUCUUCCUUAGUAAAAAAAAAUAUUUCAUGAUCAUCUAUUUAGUUAUCCCUUUUGAAUAUAAUUUUGUUUAUUGGUGCAUUAUAUUCCACGCAAUCAAGUGCACACCUCCUACCAAACCUCUCCCCUAGUGUGCUAUAGGAAAAUCUUGAAUUUUCGUACCCAAACUUUUUCUUUUGUUUAUACCUAACUUGCCUGAUAUUAGCUCCAAAAAAAAAAAAAAAAAAAACUUAGCCGAUAUUAAAUGGAGAAAUUUGUCAUUUUUAGUAAGCCCUAGACACUAAACAAUGUCAUAGUUCUUUUCAUAGUCAUAGCCAUCUUCAUUUUUUUUUAUAGCAAGAAAAUAAUUAUCAUAGUUCUACUUUGCUAGGGGUAACAUAUUUCCAUCACAAUAAGUUUAAUAGACAUUCCUUGUUUGACUAUAUAUUUGAUAUCCAUAACAACAUACCGGAUUAUUUGCAGCUACACCACCAUCAAUGAGGUUGAACUCCUUAGGAUUUCCUUCAUUUACAAACUUAUGAGCAGGAAAAUAGGUUGGAGCUGCGGACGUGCUAAUGCAUAUGUCAGACAACCGGGCAUCCAGCAAUGGGUAUUUUGCGUCCUGCAUUAAUUCAACAUUUAACAAAUUCCGCUACUGAAUGAGAGCAAAAAGGAUGACUAAGAGGAUUUGGAUAAUAUAUACAUAUAUAUAUAUAUAUAUAUAUAUAUAUAUAUAUAUAUAUAUAUAUAGUGAGAGAGAGAGAGAGAGAGAGACCUCAAACGUGGAAAAAAUGAUGGGCUGUAAACACUUGACAUCAAAUGUUGGAAUAACAACAUUGGUUAACGUUUUGCGUAACCGAGUUUCCCCUAACUUUUCCUUAAGAAUUUUGUGUAGGUAUUUUCCAUCAUACACGGGACCUGGGAAAAAAUUCAGCACGAAUUUGAUCAUCUUCUGUAUGCCACAAAAUUUGAUCAUCCGCCGAAAGCCACUGCAAACAAAGGUUCAUCAAUUUCAUAAUUAUGAGUGCCAUGAAAAUGAUUAAUGUCUUCUAACAAAAAAAAAAUAAAAAAAAAGAGGUCAAAAAAUUAAAGUCUUCUACAAAGUAAUAUAACAUAUAUCAUAAAGACUCUGAUCGCUAGUCACUAACUACCUCCUUUGUGGGAAUAUUUUAGGGCCAUGCUCCAUAUAAAAUGGCUUGAUAUCUUUUGCAGCAAAAAGAGGACGAUCUUUUUCAUUAGGUGCAGUUAACAUAGUUGCUAUGAGACCUCCAGUACUGGUUCCCGCAAUGACGUCAAAAUAAUCAGCAAUUCUUGCUUCCUGACCAUCCAACUCCUGAGAAUUGCAUCAAAAUCAUGAGCUAUAAAAUUCUGAAGCUUUUUUUCCAUCUUCUUUUUCCCUGAUUAUGCACUCAUUCUUUUGGUUCUUUGGGUUUAUAUGAACUCAAAGGAGUCGUAGAGGAUAAGUGAGGAAUUACUGUCGAUCCUUUAAAAAAAAAAAACCCUGAGUAGCCGUAUUUUGUCAAGCUUGUCCAGAUUUUGUCAAUCAUAAGAUGAUGUUUUCUUGAAUGCAAGUCUCAAAAGAUAGAAUUGAAUGCUGCUAAAUUUAACUAUGUGAUCAUACCUGAAGUUCGGAUUCAAGGAAAUCAAGAAUUGUAGCAGGAAUGAUCCCUCUGAUACCACCGCCGUCAAUACUAAGAAUAGUUACUAGAUUCUCAUUGACUGGGGGCAGGUUUUGAAGAGAAGAUUUUGCUCCUUCCAUUUCUACUUAGCUAAUAUUGAUGAUUUGUUCUCAAAUCUGCGCAAAUAUAUUGGACCACGUUGAACCGCAUAACGAGCGGUACUUAUAUAGAGGACGAUUCCCCCUUUUUCUUUCUUCUUUUUCUUUUUAUAUUUCCCCGUAGAUUUUCCAACUUAGACAACUAGGAUGAAAGUUUAUCCAACUCAUAAUAUUAUGAAGUUAUUGAAGGAUGGUUACUUUAUGUUACACACAUGUGGGCUAGUUCAUUCUGUCUGAUUUCACUUUUUGAACAGGAAAUUAUUAUUGGUGUGGGAUGUAUUUUUUGGGAAGUUUUUGGAGAAAAAUUACUCUAGCACUUUUUUAGGAUCUAAUGUAUGUGAGGCAAAAAGUUAACUGAAAAUUAAACAAAAGAAAUAUUGAAAAACAUAACAUUUUUUUUUUCCAAAAAAUCACAAUUCAAUUGCGUAUUCGCAUGUAUAUGUCUCUUAAUUGCCCAAUGGAUAUAACCCCAACACACAUGCAUGACAGAUUAAAUCAUUAAAACUUCUAUUUUUGUCCUUCACUCGUAUGAAAUUCUGCUGCAAUAAUCUCUUAGAACACAUCUAUAUGGAGAUUUUCUUUUGACAAUCAAAUUGUAUAUCAUAGAAAACUAUAACUUAUUUUUAUAAAAUUGGAGAUAAGUAUUUGGAUAGAGUUUUAUUUGUAAAAACUUUUUGAUUGCAUCACAAAUACGUUUUUCAACCACUUUUUUUUUUUUUUCAUUUCAGAUACAUCAAAGUACAAAAGGUGCUAUGGUGUUUUUCUUAACUACACAAGUAGCUACAAACAAUAAUUAUUAAUUUGAAAUAAAACUAGUUGCAUGCAAUAAAAAAAUUAAUAUUCUAUGAGAGAUGCACCCGAGUCUUUAGCUUCCUAGUUGUCUGGCUUCAACUUGGGGAAUUCCUUGGCUUUUAUGGUCGAUUAACAGUAGACAAUAAUGUGUUGGGCUAAUAAUUAAUUCUUCCCACUACUCACAUUCCUAUAAAGUAUCAAAACGUUUUUCACGUUAUGCUGGGUUGUGCCUCAGAAGAUUGUUUUUCCUCUUUCUCCCUCUAAAAAAUGGUUGGUGUGAUGCAGAAGUCAGUGGAGGUCGCCUUCUCUAGCUUAGGAAUCUGUACGAUGAUGAAGAAUCAAAUUCGAAAGGCAGAGGAAUUUUAUUGAUGAAUGGGAGAAAUGAGGCAGACAAGGAAUAAUAACUCAGGAAUAAUAAGUGUUAAAAGUCUGGAUUACAAUCUGGAUUCCCUUAUUCACCUUCGGGCUUCCCUUUUAAGUUACUCAGACAGGUUAUUCUUGCUGCUGCCAGCAAUUAUUAACUACUUAUUGGCAAAUAGGAAAUAUUACCCAUUUGGAUUAACUGUUUCUGGGAGCGUUUUUGAAAAAUUUUACUGUAACAAUUUAUAUAAAAAUUUUUUACUAUAAAAAUUUUUUGAAAUAUUUGAUAUAUUGUAUAGAUGAAAUGUUUUUUGAAUUAUUGUGUAUUACUAUAACAUUGUAUUUGAAAAAAAAGACCGAUCCAAAUGGAUCCUUGCCAGAAAGGUGAAAUGCAUCAUGGUAAGUGACUAGGUUUGUUGGCAAAAGAUAAAACUGUUCUAAUUCAACUCCUUGUUCUUUUGUUGUGAUUUCGAUUGUCGCAAUCUCUUUUCUUUGGACAGCAAUUUUGCAACCCUAUAUAACAUUCAUUACCAAAAAAAUAAAUAAAUAAAAAAUCAUACUAAUAAUAAUUAAUGAAAUCAAUAAAUAUUAGGGAAUAAAUAAUCAAGCAAUUUUUCCCAACCAAUUUGGACUAAUUACACUCGAAAUUCGAGCCAAAAACUGGAUACUUGGACAAAGAUUAUUGUCAAGUGAUUGGUACCGUUUUAGGGCAUCUGCGUUAGUGCCACCAUUGUCGAUGGGCUCAGAUAAUCCUGUCAUCGGAUUCACUCUUGAAACCAUCUUGUUCAAUAAGCUUUCGCCAAUUUUCACUAAUUUUUCCAUCCUGGGUCAUCUUUUGUUUCUUUCAUCAGCUGAGGAGCGAGUCCCGGUUAAUUGACCAUCCUGCAGGCAACAACAUGCACAAAAGACGUAUAUUUUGGACUAAUUCUACCAUGUAAUUCGAUUAUGAUUUUCGGACAUAAAUCCGACAAAUUUUCCAGUGUAAUUGUCAUUUUAUAAUUCAAGAAGAUGAAUGGGGGAGAAAUUCCAACACAAAAUGUUUCCUUCAUGAAAAAUCCAAUGAACCGAUCGAUGUGAAUCCGAUCGGUCAAAUCAUAUUCGGAUCGGAUCACAUAUGAAUUAGGAAGUUGGGCGUAUUGGAUUUGAAUUUAAUUUUCUAUAAUUUGUGGAUAUUUGAUCUGACUCGCAUAGUACUUUUUAUAUAUUUUUUUAGAAAUUUAUCCGUUAAAACAUCCAAUGCCCAGGUUCACAAUGUCAGCGCUGCAUCUAUGUUCAUUCUUUGGUAAGCCUGUUCCCCAGUGAGGUCAAUAGAUAGCGUCCAUAAUCCAUUGGCUAGCUUCGGGAGGAAUCUGGAUUUUUUCUGCACAGUUGUCUGUUUACUUCGGUAAUAGCUACUAAGACCUUGUCAGUAAUUAUACAAAAAAAAAAACAUGGUUAGUUUGAUAACUCAAAUAUAAUGAACUUUAUUGCUAGCUAGCUAGCUAACUAUUUUGGGGUGUUCAAAAAAGAAGGUAUGUACAUAUAUAAUAUGUUGCCUUUUGAGUUAUAUAUAUAUAUAUAUGUGUGUGUGUGUGUGUAUAUAUGUAUAUGUAUGUACAUAUAUAUAUAUAUAUAUAAACUUUUAGCAGUAUUUAUCUCCUUUUUAUACUUCAUAUAUUAUUGCAUUAAAUUAUAAUUUUCUUAUUAGAGUCAAUCUUUUUAAUCUGCACAAAAAUCUGAACAUGUGGCAAUCACUAGCUACUCAAUUAACCUGGGGAACUAUUUGCUGACAUACAUACAUUCAUACGUAUGUACGCACAUAUAUAUAUAUAUAUAUAUAUAUAUAUAUAUAUAUAUAUAUAUAUAUAUAUGUGUGUGUGUGCAUGCAGCUAAUUUAAUUAACCAUUUUCUCUCUUUUAGGUGGCAUGUCUAAUUAAAAAGAAUUGAUGGGUUAUUUGAAUACUUGAUUUUUACCCACAUUUGUAUCCAACUCUUCUCCAACCAAUUCUUCUCAUAGUUUCGCUGUCCUUUAACAACUUAAUCCUUUUUGAUAAAUUUGAAUUAUAUUUUAUGAUGGUUUUCCUCUCUAUUUUAACAAACUUUAUUUUUAUUUAUAAAUUCACUUAAUUUAUUUUAUUUGUAGGUGUUAAACUUAUUUGGUGUUAUUUUAAUUUUUGCUUCAUAAAAGUUGCUAGAAACUUAAUAUUCAUUCAUGGAGAAAAUAAAUUUUUGCGUCUUUGAUAUUUAAUAAUUGAAUCAAAAAUUAAUAUGGUGCCUGAACACUAAAAUAUUCAUGAAUAUGUAAGAAUAUUAUUUUUUUUAAAGUAUACAUACUUGCAUAAAUUCACAACUAAUACUAAUAUAAAAAAGAAACUUGUAAAGUAUCUCGUGCUAAUGCACGAGAUAAAUACUUGUAAGACAUGAAAUAGUGACUCCUAUUUCCAAAUUAGGCUUGAGGUAAAGAUUUUUUCCUUAAAUUAGAUAUGAACUAACUGUAAUCAGCACUAGGGAUUUCUUUUGACCUGGUUAGAACAAUGUUACCCUUACAAUUGGGAUCAUAAAUAGAAGUUUAUAACGUUAACGCAAAGCCACAGAGGCUUUAUAUGUGGUAUUAAUAGAUAAUAUUAGUGUCAGGACUACUUGGAUGCAGUCGUUUGGUUGUAAAAGUGAAACAAUGAUGAAAUGAUGUAGUUUUGUUAAGCGAAUUAGUCAGGAACAGUUAAUGCUGAUAUGUUAUAAAACAAAGAAUUUAAUUGGUCGUAAAGACAUUGGCAUGAAAUUUUAAUUUAUACUCAAACUUCUCCUAUUGCAAGUGCACAGAUCCUAUACAAGUAUAGGGAAUAUUUGAAUGUCGAUCCUACAGGAAAAGAUGAUCAACUACGUACUAACGUUAUUCAGAGUCUUUUAUUACUAAUACUAAUAACAAGAAAAGAACAUUACACUAAGAAACGUAGAUUAAUCAAAGAAACUAUCAUGAUAAGAUCGGUUUUCUCUCCAACUUUGCAAGAUAAAGGACCUGAUUAUUGCGUUUUGUCACUUUGGCUAAGUAUGGCAUAAUUUCUUAAUGUAUGUAAAAUUUUUUUUUUUUUAUAAUGAAUCAACUAUAUGUAAACUAAUCUGUACCUAAUUUCAUGGUUAUGAAAUUAGUUAUAUGCUCAUUAGUUUCUGUGAAAUUACAUGAUAAAAAAUUACAAUAGUGAUUUUCAAACUUAGUGAGUAAACUCCCUAAAUUUAAUAUUUCUUUAAACUAGUAUUAAACACCACUUUCAUUGAUGAUCUAACACCUUUGGAUAAUCUCAACUAAUAACCAGUUAAUUAUGAUUUUACAAACGAAAGUGCUAAAUACUGGUUCAAAGAAUAAACACAACCACCGGGUUCAUUUCAUCUAACAAAGAAGAAAUUAAACCUAUCUAGGCAUGAACUCUCCAUCUUUGCGUCUCAAAUUUUCUUCUAAAUCUAACUAUAAGUACAAGAAUGGAUAAAAACUACGCUAACAUAUUCUACUCGUAAACAAACUACUAGGAGCUUGUAGUUGUAGGUUUAGAGCUCCUCAGUUUUUUCAUAACGUAUAAUUACAAUAACUAACAACAAUAAAGGUGCAUCACCUAGGAAUUCCUUUCACCAAAUUUUUAAAUGGUAUAAUGUAAUAUUACGUUGAACAUUGAAGUCAAUAUCGUCAUUAGGAAUGUAAGGUCGACCAAUUCUAUUUUGUAUAAAGUUUCAAGAAAUAACAACGUCCACCAUAUGCUGGAUAAAAUGCACAGCUUAUGCUCAGAUAAUUAAGUACAAGAAAGAAGUAACAAAUUGGUGGCUACAAGACCAUUGAAGUUGGUUCGGUGGCUAAGGAAGGUUUUUAAAGUUCUCUUCGAUAUCAGAACGGGUGGGGCGAAAAGAGUGCAAGGAAGGAAGGUAAGAAAAAG